GCAAGAGGAAGUGGAGUCCAGGAUCGACAAGGUCGAGGCCCUAGUCGACCGACUGUCUGAUGACACCAAAGACUCCGUGCAACACUUACAGGAUGUUGUGGCGGAACUCACUGCAAAGGUGGCCAUGCUCACAAGGACACUAAAUGCGGGAGGAAGCAACACCCGCGUUGCACCGCCACAAAAUUUGAGGGCACUUGAGCCUCAUGGAUAUGGAGGGGCCAGAGAUGCCAAAGAGCUCGAGAACUUUCUGUUUGACAUGGAACAAUACUUCCGAGCUACGAGGCCCGAUUCUGAAGAUACCAAAGUUUCUAUAGCAAUAAUGUAUCUGAACGGAGAUGCGAAACUUUGGUGGCGAACUCGUUGGGAGGAGAUCCAACAAGGUCGGUGUCGAGUCGACACAUGGGAGGACUUGAAGCGGGAGUUGAGAACUCAGUUCCUACCGGAGAACACAGAGUUCGUCGCAAGAAGGAAGUUGAGACAACUCCGCCAAAGUACCACCAUCCGAGACUAUGUGAAACAAUUUUCUGCACUAAUGCUGGACAUACAGGACAUGUCCGAGAAGGACAAGUUGUUCAGCUUCCUCGAUGGUUUGAAACUAUGGGCUCAACAGGAGCUAAAUCGAAGGAAUGUUACCGAUGUGGUCGGGGCAAUUGCUGCUGCAGAAAGGCUCACCGACUUUGUUUCCUCUGAAGACCCAGCAAGAAGGAAACAAUCUUCAGGCAAUCGCCCUCCAAAACAUUCUCGAGGGAAGGAGCUUGGGGGCGAACAAAAGAAGAAGAGCUCCCACAAAGGGCCGAACCCGAAAGGCAAGGCCUCAAAACCUGGAGGAUGCUUCUUGUGCGGAGGACCGCACAUGGUAAAGGAGUGCCCACAAAAACAGGCACUCAAUGCUUUAACGGCUUCCAUCCACCCCCCCCCUCCCGAUCGGACAAGGGCAAAGCUGUUGCUCUUAGUUCGAGCAAUGCUGAAUCCAGCAGCGACGACGAGGAGUCGCAAGGACCCCGAAUGGGAGCAAUGCGUUUGUCGAACGCUAUGCGGGGUCAAGUGGGGGAGAACAUGAAGACAAAGGUACAAAAAGCAGGGAGUAGUGAGCUGAUGUAUGUGGACAUCAAGCUAAAUGGCCAAACGACCCGUGCAAUGGUGGACACGGGCGCUACCCACAACUUCAUAGCCGAUCAUGAAGCACAGCGACUUGGGUUGACCUUGGAGAAGAGCCCAAGCCGAAUGAAGGCGGUGAACUCGGAGGCCAGGCGAAUCUCCGGGUUGGCGAAGGGAGUUCCCAUCAAAAUCGGGACUUGGAGCGACGACGAGGAGUCGCAAGGACCCCGAAUGGGAGCAAUGCGUUUGUUGAACGCUAUGCGGGGUCAAGUGGGGGAGAACAUGAAGACAAAGGUACAAAAAGCAGGGAGUAGUGAGCUGAUGUAUGUGGACAUCAAGCUAAAUGGCCAAACGACCCGUGCAAUGGUGGACACGGGCGCUACCCACAACUUCAUAGCCGAUCAUGAAGCACAGCGACUUGGGUUAACCUUGGAGAAGAGCCCAAGCCGAAUGAAGGCGGUGAACUCGGAGGCCAGGCGAAUCUCCGGGUUGGCGAAGGGAGUUCCCAUCAAAAUCGGGACUUGGAGCGGAAAUACCAACAUGAUGGCCGUGCCACUGGACGACUUCCAAGUGAUUCUUGGAAUGGAGUUUAUGCACGCGGCGAAGUUGGUGCCGAUGCCGUUCUUGAACUCCCUAUGUAUGAUGGGAGGCGAUGACCCCUGCAUGGUUCCCGUCUCUCGGAGAGGAACUAAGGAGCCCCAACACAUUUCGGCAUUACAACUGAAGAAAGGGGUGCGAAUAGGCGAAUUGACAUUUGUGGUUGCUAUGAAGCUAGAGCCACUCAAUGAGGAGGCCAUUCAAGAACCUGCUGUGGUGGCGAACGUCCUAAAAGAGUUCAAAGACAUUAUGCCACCCGAGUUGCCGAAGACUCUUCCACCAUGCAGAGGCGUGGAUCACAGCAUCGAGCUGGAGCCAGGAAGUGAAGCCUCCAGCGAGACCACCCUACCGCAUGCCCCCGCCAGAGUUGGCAGAACUCAGGAAGCAGUUAGGUGAACUGCUAAGCGGUGGUCUCAUCCGCAGCUCUAAAGCANNNNNNNNNNNNNNNNNNNNNNNNNNNNNNNNNNNNNNNNNNNNNNNNNNNNNNNNNNNNNNNNNNNNNNNNNNNNNNNNNNNNNNNNNNNNNNNNNNNNNNNNNNNNNNNNNNNNNNNNNNNNNNNNNNNNNNNNNNNNNNNNNNNNNNNNNNNNNNNNNNNNNNNNNNNNNNNNNNNNNNNNNNNNNNNNNNNNNNNNNNNNNNNNNNNNNNNNNNNNNNNNNNNNNNNNNNNNNNNNNNNNNNNNNNNNNNNNNNNNNNNNNNNNNNNNNNNNNNNNNNNNNNNNNNNNNNNNNNNNNNNNNNNNNNNNNNNNNNNNNNNNNNNNNNNNNNNNNNNNNNNNNNNNNNNNNNNNNNNNNNNNNNNNNNNNNNNNNNNNNNNNNNNNNNNNNNNNNNNNNNNNNNNNNNNNNNNNNNNNNNNNNNNNNNNNNNNNNNNNNNNNNNNNNNNNNNNNNNNNNNNNNNNNNNNNNNNNNNNNNNNNNNNNNNNNNNNNNNNNNNNNNNNNNNNNNNNNNNNNNNNNNNNNNNNNNNNNNNNNNNNNNNNNNNNNNNNNNNNNNNNNNNNNNNNNNNNNNNNNNNNNNNNNNNNNNNNNNNNNNNNNNNNNNNNNNNNNNNNNNNNNNNNNNNNNNNNNNNNNNNNNNNNNNNNNNNNNNNNNNNNNNNNNNNNNNNNNNNNNNNNNNNNNNNNNNNNNNNNNNNNNNNNNNNNNNNNNNNNNNNNNNNNNNNNNNNNNNNNNNNNNNNNNNNNNNNNNNNNNNNNNNNNNNNNNNNNNNNNNNNNNNNNNNNNNNNNNNNNNNNNNNNNNNNNNNNNNNNNNNNNNNNNNNNNNNNNNNCUCAUCAAAGAAGGCAAGGCACGACGAUUUUGGGUCCAAGAGGGACUUGUUUACACAAAAGGGAAUAGGGUUUAUGUUCCCCGAGUGGACAAUUUAAGGCGUGAGCUCUUAAAAGAGUGUCACGAUUCCCUUUGGGCUGGACACCCAAGCAUUCACAGAACGUUGGCUCUCGUGGAGAGGGCCUUCUACUGGCCGAAGAUGGGGAUUGAUGUGGAGGAAUAUGUUCGAACAUGCCUUACUUGCCAACAAGACAAGGUGGAGCAGCGGAAGCCGGUGGGACUUUUGGAGCCAUUGCCCGUACCAGAAAGGCCGUGGGAGAGCAUUUCCUUGGAUUUCAUAUCAAGCUUGCCACUUGUAGGGGGACUCGGAUCGAUACUCGUGGUGGUCGAUCGGUUUUCAAAGUAUGCAACUUUCAUUGAUGCUCCCCUACACUGUUCAGCAGAGGAGGCGGCCAAGCUAAUGAUGAAGAAUGUAGUGAAGUAUUGGGGAGUCCCGCACAAUAUCAUUAGCGAUCGAGACGCUCGGUUCCUAGGACGAUUCUGGACCGAGCUGUUCAAAUUGUUGGGGUCGAAGUUAUACUUCUCUACAAGCCUCCACCCUCAGACGGAUGGCCAGACUGAAAGGAUAAACUCGCUCUUGGAGCAAUAUCUCCGGCACUACGUGAGUGCCAAUCAACGAGAUUGGGUGAAGCUGUUGGACAUUGCCCAAUUCUCCUACAACUUGCAGCGGAGCUCUGCAUCUAACAAGAGCCCCUUCGAGAUUAUCACAGGACAACAACCGUCGACUCCGCACACCAUGGCAAUUGGGUAUAUUGGGAGUAGUCCAUCAGCCUAUCAUUUCGCAAAGGAGUGGCAUCGAAAUGCAGAUAUUGCGCGAGCUUACUUGGAGAAGGCGGCAAAAAGGAUGAAGAAGUGGGCAGACUUGGGAAGGCGACCGCAAGAGUUCAAAGUUGGCGAUUUGGUGUUGGUAAAGCUUCAACCAGCAUCACUCCAAUUCUUUAGGAACAGAGUCCACAAAGGAUUGGUGCGCAAGUAUGAAGGGCCCUUCCCAAUUAUUAGCAGGGUAGGCAACGUCUCUUACAAGUUGCAGCUGCCGGCGUGGUUCAAAAUUCACAACGUUCUUCAUGCCAGCAACCUAAAAGCCUACCACUCGGAUCCGCGAGAUGCUUCCUGAAAUGUUCCAACUCGGCUACCUCCCAUCACAGCCUCCUACGAGAAGCGAGUGGAAACCAUUCUGGCGGACCGCAAGAUAAAGCUACCCAACGGAGCUGAGCAGACAGAGUACUUGGUGAAGUGGCGAAAGCUUCCCCGAACUGAAGCCAGUUGGGAGCCUGAAGACGCCCUGCGACAUGAAGAAGAAGUCAUCAACAACUACCAACAAGCGUCGACGAGGGCGUCGACAGUUUAAGUGGGGGAGAAUGUCACGAACGGUCGUCGCGCACCCGCAACAACUCUGUUCAACGAACCGUUCGUCGCUCACACCUGCAUGUACAGCUGCUUGACAGCAUGUUUUCUCUUGGUUUUGGGUCAUUUUGCUUGUAAAAAUGUAAGUUCGAACAAGCUGCAGCGUUGCAAAGCGAUCGCUCACCGAACCGAGCAAAACAGCCCCAAAACAGCCCAAAACAGCUCCGUUUUCGCGUGCCACGGGAGGGUUGCGGUAAUCUGCCUCCGCUCACCAAAACGUCAGCCAUCUCAGCCCCUUUGAACCCCCCGGGUGGCACAGGGCUGGAUGGGGCUUCGGUUAUAUACCGGGCGUUGAACUCUCUUUCGUAAGUUCGCACGUGGUCUUUACGGGAACUUGUCUUCGCGCCCGGGACCAGGUGAGCGGCUGUUUGUGGGCUUGCAGCUGUUCGUUCAUCCUUCUAAAGCCUUGUUUUCUCCCUCUCCCUCUUUUCUCUUGUGCAUGCAAGGUGCUCGCUGAAUUGCUUGUAAAGCUUCCCCUUUUCGUGAGAUUUCGGGACUUGUCAAUUGCUCGUUCUUUCAAACUAACCAACUUUCUCUUUUACAGGUCCUUCGGGACCUGCGAGAGGUUACAAGUGGGCUGAUUCUUGCGGAGUAAUAUCGCAAGGGCGAAGCGCGACUUAGGCAACGCAAGCUAAGUUCGCGUCUUUGCCGCAAGGGUGACUCACGACUUAGGCAACGCAAGCUAAGUUCGCGUCUUUGGCCGUAAGGGUGCCUCACGCCUUAGGCAAUUCCAGCUAAGGCCGUGACAAUACGGCAAAGGUGUAUAAAACAUUGCAUAUGGAGUUUGAUGUAGUUGAAUAUUGUCCUGCCAUCAGUUUGAGAAUAUAUAGAACAAGAUGCAACAUCAUAUCUGACAUCUGUGGCUUGCAUGAUAUUGUGAUUGGAUAUGCAGUUGCUUCAUAAAUGUUAUACAAAGUUAUCAUUCUGGCUAUCAACCUUAUAUUUCUACAUAAGGCUAAUUAGUUCUUACGUAACAUGGUUAUUAGGAAUGACACUAGAUGCUACUUCAUUUCAAGGAAUAAUAGAAGCCCCUACAGAAUUUUUUUACUGUAGAGUUACAGAAAAAUAAAAGAUUGUCUAACAUGUUUUAGGACUGAUAGAGGCCUGUUAUUUAUAGUAUUCUAGUAACUAUUCCCAAAUUACUAGCUAAAACAUUAUAGAAACAAAAACUCCUUGUGACGGAGCAGUCUUGGCGUAUAUUUUCUCAUGCUGUCGGUGUUCUAUUUUUUCAUUGCAGUCCCUCAUCAGUGAGUUAUUAGGGAGCUGCUAAACUCCCUAUCUGACUUGAGAAUGAUAUCCAAGUUCUGUGGAUCUUUUGCAUAUGUCAUGAGAGACGUAGCUUCUGAGCGAGUCAUGGUCAAUGCAUGAGACAGCACUAGUAGGGCUUGAUAUUGAUGAGAUGGACCGGUGUUUGUAGCUGACUCAAUGUGAUAUAAGAGUCGUGUCUAGCAAUUGUGUGGUGGAAAAGGUGUGGGCCAUGUUCAGUGAGCACUCCUUAAUGAUAGACAUUUAUGACUAUUGGAAAGCCAUAUUUGGAAAGCUUGAUUUAGGCCCAAGAAAGGUUGGCUCGGCUUGCAAUAUCAUAUGUAGUCCAGAGUUUAAGGAAGGUGGGCCACAUCAUUACAUAAUAGUCUUAUAAAUAAACAUGCUUGUAUGCCCAUAAGUUUUAUGGUUGGAUGUUCUCUUUAUUCAUCUAUGCAAUCAUAACACUUCAACUAGAAUUUUAUUUACCAGCUUAUUGUUUUGGAGGUUGUUUCACUUCUUCCAAUUGAAGAAACACAAUAUAGAGGCAUCACUUCGAACAUAGCGAACCUUCUUUCUUUAUUUUUUGGAUAGAAGUUUAUGUUCUUCCUGGCAAAUUUUUUUAUUAAUAAUGGAAGAAAGCAAGUUGAGCUAGAGGUUAAAAGCAAAGAAAGCAUUGAAUAACAUAAAAUUAUUUUAUUUUGUUUGUAGUCUGGAUCAGAUUUUCAGCACAUUGAAUUCAAUUCAUCAGAUGCCUCUUGUUCAAAGUCUCUCAUUGGAAGAAAAAACCAAGAUAAAGCUUCUCUUUGUUUUCUCUUCAUUUUUCCAUGGAACUUCAUAGUCAUUUGCUCGGCAAUGAUAGAAACAUAGAAGUUUGACCUUUUGUCUCUUUUUAUCAAUACAUUACUUUUUCUUUAAAUGCAUAAAUUCAGGACUCAUUAAUAUUUUUAAUAUUGGUUGAAGUACUAAUUUUUAAUAUGAAUUAUGAUUCCAUUAACAUCUUAUGAAAUGAGAUUAAAUGCUUUGUUUGGUUAUAGUCAAGCUCUCAUGUUGGUUGGCUUUUGCAUUUAACUUCCAAAAUCAAAUUUUCAAAUGUAAGUCCAAAUCUAAAUUUGUUCACUGGUGCAGUGGUUCUGCAAAGAAUGGAAGACGAUGGUACUAUAUGCAUAGAGGAUAGACUAAAGGCAUUGGGGAUUGUCACCGAAAAGGUUGAUCUCAGGACAAAAGAUCAUGCCAGUAGUCCUACUAAUACUGUUCUGGAUAUAUAUAGUGGGGGGAAAAUAUCAGUUGAUGUAAAUAUGCCUCCUAAGAAGGUUUGUGUCUCUAAUAUGGUUAGUCAUAAGAUUUAACAAGUAAAUUAUUGAUAAAAAAUAGCCGUGUAUGCUGUAUUGAGAUUAUCUAGCUGUAAAAGCUGAUUGUGUCUUUCUCAUAUGAGUAGAUAAGGGCGCAUAUCUUAUCCAUGAGCUCCAUUGAUGCUUGCAAAUCUCUGGAAGUCCUCAUAUCUGCUUUGAAAAAAAGGUAUGAAAACUUUUACUUAUAUAAUAACUGUUAAUGACUUUAUAGCAACCGUUAAUGACUUUAUUCUUGUAUUUUUGAUGCUUGAAUUUGGGGGUUCUAUUCCAAGAAUCAGAUUCGGUGAUUUCCCAUCCAUAAAAUGAUUUGUAAUUACUAGGCAGUUGUCCCUGAGUUAUGUUUGUUUUAAAUUCUUAUGAACAUUUCUAAAUAUGGAUUGAGAAAUGGGGUGGUUUUGUAACUCUCUUAAGAUUAUUGUUCUAAUAUCAAUGUCUACGCAUAUGCAAUCCUAACCAUAUAAGGAAAAAAUAUUGAGUUCAGUAUUGAUUGAUUUAAAUAUCAUACCUCCUCUAAGCUAUAUGGAGAAUGUGCCUUGUCAUGUUUGCCCUUUUACCUUCUACAUACCAGAGCGAACCCUUAUGAGAGCUUCGGUCACUAAAUCCCUUUUAGUUAAGUUGGAUGGGACGGGCGGUCAGUUGAGCUCCUGAACAGCAUGCAACCAAGGUGGGUUGGAUUAGAUUAAGGGUUAACCAUUACCAGCUUUCUUUAUUAAUGACUCAACAAAAUUUGACAAACUAAACCCCAACUGAAAUCUUGGUCGAAUUUAUUUUACCCUGAAAAGCUGGGCUAGGACUGUUAGGGCUGGGUAGCUUCAUAGUUUUUGGGUUAUAUUGCAAUAUAGAGGUUAAACUAUGGAGUAAAAUUGCUUUCUUGCCUUUUUACUAUAUUAUAUAUGUCAAGAAACCUUUGCAUAGUCACAUGCACAAUAGUUGUGCUUCAGUCCCAAGUCCUGUUUUCCAUUGAUUAACAAUAUACAUUAUUUUAUCAUUUAGAAAAUUUCCUGAUAGCCUAACUUCAUCUUAGUUGUCACCCUUUUAUUGUGGGCCUUGUUUUUGCAUCAUGACAAUUAAGAAUUCAGAAUAACAGAUAUUUCUAGGUAGGAUUUAAAUUUUGAUGACAACUUCCCAUGCCAACAAGUCUCUGGAACACUAUGUGCUAGUGUCCAUGCUAUGCAAUGUGGCAAAUUGACUGGUGUGCUGCUUUAUUGAGGUAAAAAAUACUGCAUAUAGAUAGAGCUUCCAUGACCUCUUAGAAUUCUCUUUUCUAGCUUGGGGCUCGAUCUUGUGCUCUCUCUUGGCUUUGGCAUGAUCUUCUGCCCUCCCCUAACCUCCCAUUCAGUGGAGACAGCAAAAGAAACAGUAGAACAUCAGGUUGUGUGAGUCCUAUCCUUCUCUUAAAACCCUAAAACAAAUGAUAUUGAAGAUUAUUAUUUUACCCUUUAGUUGGACUCAACUCCAAAGGCAAGUCCGCACAUAACAUGUCAUAUAAACUGGAGGUUCAUUCUUGGUUCUAAAUAGGCUGGCCCCCCUUUCUGGUCCUGGUGAUGGCCUUAUCACUCAAUAUAGUUGGUUGCCUUGAGGUGGUGUCUUGUCAUUAAUCUUGGGUUUAUGGUGGCUAAGUUUGAUCCUUAUUAACACUGUUAGAUCUUCUCAGAAUUUCACAGGAAUUAUAUGGCACCAAAAAUUGGUAACUUUGAUGAGUCUCAUCAAAUGCCUAAAAGUAUUUAGAUGACUAUUUGAGAAGUUACUUGUGGUAAUAUCACUAAAUCAUGAUCCUGGUUACAGGUACUUGAAAAGGAAACUUAGAGAGAUUUUUGGUUGGAUUCUGGUUGGGUCGGGCUGUAAAAAUAUGCUAGAAUUGCCCCACAUUCCAGAGCCUCCAGCAUCAGUCACACAAUCCACUAGCUUCAUAAUUUUAACCAGCAAUAAAAUCUAAUUUAUGUACUUCGGAUAGAUAUUAUGACUUCUAUUAAUCUAAUUGUACAACCAGUCGAUCUAAAUUUGGGAAACUUUAAACACAACAGUUAUCAUAAAUCAAUCGUAGAAAACAGAAUUAGUACCUCAAGAAAUAUUCCUGUAUGGUACACACUUCUGAAGGUGCUAUUAUUGUUUCCAUGCCAACUACUUAGGCUGCAAUCACUGUCAAGUGCCAACUGAUUUGUCUACUUAGGCUGCAAUCACUGUCAAGUGCCAACUGAUUUGUUCCUUAAUCCGAGAAAGUGUCAUCUACAUCAUCUAUAACUGACUUCUGCUAGUCUGUCAGCAUCCACCCCAGCUUAUAGUCUAACCUUUUUCAAUAUUUCUGUCGCACUGCUGCUUGUAGAAUUGUAUCACUGGAUUAAAUUGUAUCGCAAUGCUGAUGCCUAAUAAACAACUUAAUUUUUCUUCAACAGUUCAGUCAGUUCCAAGCAUAUUUUUCCGUGGAUAUAUUACAUUCUAGUCAACCAUGGUCAAUUUAUCAUAUCUCAAGAUUCAUCAGUCCAAAUGCUUGACGGUCUACACAAGGUAUACCCAGAUGCAAUCUUGCAUAUUGUUUUCCUGUUGAUUUGUUCCUUGCAUACAAGCCUAUGUGGUAUACCUCUUAGGUUGUAAAUUGUUUAUAUGCAUUCAUAAUUCUGUCAUUUUUCCUUUUAUUUUUUUUAUUUUAAAUCAGAUUAUUUUAAAUUUGAACUUGAAAAUCUUAUAGCAUCUUCAUUUAUGUAAUCACCUUACUAUAAACUGCAAAGCUAUACUCAAAUCACAUUGUCAUCUGUUGGUUGUCCGUUGUCGUCUUACAUGGUAUUGUAUUUUCUGUGGCAGAUGAUAAAAUUGAAAUGUGCGGCUAUCGAACCUUUAUUAAAGCUAUCUGGUAGAUUUCAACUGAUCAUGACACAGGUAGGUGGUACCGUACUCAUUAUAUAAACUAUGCGAACUGUUAGGUUCUGCUAACAUGGUUGAUUCUGUUUCAGAUCGAUAAAGCUGCUGGAAUGAAAGCAUCCAUGGAUGAGCGUCAUGGUGAAGGUGACAAAAUGCUAGAUGAAGAUGAAGAUAAUGUUGAUGCCGAAGAAGACGAUGACGAAGAUGAAGAAAUCGAUGAAAUGGUGUACGGAGAAGACGAAAGCGGUAGUGAUGAGGAUGACCAGCAUCAGACAUGAACAGUAGCUGCGAAGUUUUUGUGCCUGAAUCUUUUAGAUCGGGCCACAUUUUUGUAUUCUUGUAUCUGAAUAGUGAGCAAUGAUUCUAAACUUUUGUAUCCUUGACAACUUACAAAGAAUUUGUUAUAAUUUAAUUGUGAUAUUUUUCAUGGCAAAUUUGCUGAGUUGAGUUAUUGUUGAGUCUCCUGUGGCAAUUGAGUUUACGCGUACAGCUUCUGUGAUCUCAUGGUAUUCCAUUGACUGGUUAGCUCCAUGAUAUCUAUCUAAAUUGGUAAACGAAUCACCCGACUUUGUCCACCAGAAAAAGUCAACUACUCUUGAGUUUAUCAGUCGGAAUUGGCCAAGUUUGACCUCAUGGCUUAUUGAUGUGAAGGCACAGAGUGUAAGCAAUUUUGUUGCAUACUUUAUAGUUUCUAGAAAAAAUAUGUUUCUAGAAACAAGUUGACUUUAAAGGGCAUGCUCAUGUUGACCCAUAUGCUAACUUCAAAGUUGUUGCCACUGGACUUGUUGCUGAAGAUAGGGAAAAACAAAAACAUAAAUCAUGGAACUUACAACUUCAAAGUUGUGGAGGAUGAUUUCAAUUCUUGUUUUUGUUUUUGAACUGUACUGAGCAUCAAGAUUCAAGGCCUUGUUGAUAACAUCAUUAAGGAGGUCAAGCUGGCCAUGUUGGACCGACGUAGGGGGUUUGAACCUUUAAAUUCAACCUAGUUGAAUGAUUCUAUUCAACGUAGUAUUUGUUCCGAUUAAUAUAAACAAUAUCUGAUUAGUAUUUGUCUACCUGAAAAAUUGUAGCAAUGAAAUUACCACUUGAUGCAAUUACUGAAUCAGAAAAGGGGGAAAAAUAAUAAUUAGGAGAUUGUGUCUUAUAAAUUUGGCAUACAAAAUACUUUUUCAUUUUUUAUUUAGGGAGAAAUUAGUGAUAUGUUAAAAAUGAUUUCUUGUUCAUUGAUAAUGCAGCAUAUAAAGUUUGGAGCAUAAUAUCUCACAUGACAAAGGAAUGCAUGUAAAACAUUGAUUUCCAUAUAAUUAAAGACUAUAAUACAUUAUUUUCAUACAGAUCUUAAUCUUCUCAUUUUUCUUAUCAUAACAAAAGAUAAGACAAAAUUUGCUCCUUUUAAAAAAAAAAAUAUUUAUGAAAAUGAAAAUUGAUCUUUUUUUCUUUUCCAAAAAAUAUUUUAUUUAAAUCAAUUUUCUUUUAUUUUGACCAAAAGACUUUUUCAUCUGAUUUUUCUCUUUAAAAUAAUAUUUAAAAGAAAUGUUAAAGUGCCGUAACGCUUUCCAUUUCCCCUUCCUUCCUUCCUUCCUUCCUUCGCCCUUUCCGCCCGUCUUCCUCCUCCAGUAAUAUUCACAGCCAUUGCCGGCUCUCCCUCUUUCUCUCUCGCUCUCUCUCUCUCUCUCUCUCUCUCUCUCUCUCUCUCUCUCUCUCUCUCUCCCUCCCUCGAUCCCUAAUCGAUCGACCGAUGCGAACAUCAGCAUCGGAAGAGAUCGCUGGGUAGGUAGCAGCGAUGCCGAGCGUGGCCGUGAAACUCUACAGCAUCAUCUUCAAGAUCCUCCUCAAGCACAAGCUCCAAUUGCUCCACCAGGCGGCGAUUGAGGGCGCGACCAGCCCCUUCGGCAUCACCUCCCGCCCCGACGAGUCCGCCGUUCCCGCCAACCCGUCCUUCGGCCCCGACGGCGUCGCCACCAAGGACAUCCACGUUGACCCCCUCACCUCCCUCUCCCUCCGCCUCUUCCUCCCAGACUCCUCCCUCGACCGCGCCCCCCGCGACAACGGCGGUGCCUACGGGGGAUACCUCCCCUCCGUGGCCGACGCGCGUCGCCGGUCGGCCGGGCCUCGGAAACUGCCUGUGGUCCUGCAGUUCCACGGGGGCGGGUUCGUCUCCGGGAGCAAUACGUCGGCGGCCAACGAUUUCUUCUGCAGGAGAGUCGCCAAGCUGUUGGAUGUGAUCGUGAUCGCCGUCGGGUAUAGGCUGGCGCCGGAGAGCCGGUACCCUGCGGCUUUCGAGGAUGGGCUGAAGGUGCUGUAUUGGUUGGGGAAGCAAGCGAAUCUGGCUGGCUGCAUUAAGUCGAUGGGGCGCGCAAAGGGAGGUGGCGGUGGGGACAUUAGCAAGUCGCAGAUUGCCGAUUCCUUGGGGGCGUCAUCAGUUGAGCCGUGGUUGGCAGCUCACGGUGAUCCUUCCAGGUGAUCAUUUCAUCUCUAUCCUACCUAUCUCUAUAUAUACUUCCAAUUAUUUUUAGUUGUAUGCUCGGGCUUGGAUGGUUUACUGCUAAAGUCUUGCAGAUCUUUAGGAAAUAGUGCAGAAUAAGUCAAUUGGCAUGCUGUCAAAUGCAGUCACUCGACAGAGUCGGCUAUAUGGAUCCUUCCAUUGCAUAUUUGGAAGCGAUCUUAUUCAAUGUUGCAUAUUAAUUGAGUUUUCAGUUGGAUAUUUUUGUGGUAGAGUUGCUUAAUUAGCUCUUUAAGUUGUCUGUGUUGUAGUGCAUAUUACAGAGUAGACAUAACGUUGAUCAUUGCAAAAGUAUUACACAUCAGUUUCAACAUAGCUCAUCUAGACAAAUUGGAAGAAUAUCUGUUGUGGGUUUAUAUUAAUACAUUGUCUAAAUUGUUAAAGUUGAUUGCUUAAUGAUGAUGUGCUGAUCAAUGCCUCCGCUGAACCUUUUGCAUCUGCAUAGUGCUGAUAUGAGCUUAAUCAGAACUGAGAUCUAUAGUAGGAUUCGAUCUGAGAAUCAACUAGAAAGGUGGCUAAGAAGAUGCAAUUAUUUGGAAGAUAUUGCCCAAGCUUUUAGUUUGAAGUGUGACAGGAAACUUUGGACAAAAAGUAUUAGUGAAUGGUCAAAUGAUUUGUGCUUGAGAUUGAUUGGAUUUUGGAGAUGUGUAACUUAGAGAAAAAGAUUAAGGUGAAUAUCUUGUAUUCAACUUAGAAAGUACAACUUAUUGGAGAAGACUUUCAUGAACGUGCUGAAAAGGAUAUAGAGGUGGCUCUAUUGUUGUGAAAGUUGGUCGAGGAUCCAUGAUUCAUAGAGAUAGGCCAAGCCGUUAGGUACAACAUUUAUUUACCUUCCUAGUUUUUUUAAUUAGCACAUUUAUGAGAGACUUUUGGGUAAAGUCAUAAGCUUCUUAGUAUUGCUAUCAUCUUUUUCAAGUUUAAGUAUUAGUUUUAGUUAUUCUUCAAUUAAGACAUUGGAUUGCUCUACAGCAACAACAACAAAGCCGUAAGUCCCAACUAUUUGGGGUCGGCUAUAUGGAUCUUUUGUUACCGUUUAGAUCGGUAAAGAGUCAUAUAUUUAGUUAAGUUCAAAGUACUUAAAUCUUUAUUUUUUGUUUUUAUUAAGGUCUUUUUAUGUCUUCUUCUACCUCUUCUCAUAACACUAUAUUAAUUAUUUUACCUCUUUUGAUUACAACAUCCGGAGGUCUCCUAGGCAUAGACCUAUAUCAUAUUAAACGAUUUUCUCUCAUUUUAUCCUUUAUCAAAACGAUACCUAGUUGUUCACAAAUAAAAGUAUUUCUUUUCCUAUCUUUCCUAGUAACUUCAUACAUCUAUCUCAACAUUCUCAUUUUGAUAAUCCAAGCUUUUUGCAUAUGCUGUUUCUUAACUGCCCAACACUCAAAGAUUCAUAAAGCAUUGUUAGUUUCACAAAUGCACAACACUUAGAUCACAUUAGAUUGGUUUGUUAGACUGAAAGGAAUACCAGAAGCUCUAACUGACAUACUGCUAUCAAAUAUGACAACCUUUGGCUGGCUGGUUUACUUUCUUUUGAAGCCAUCAUUGGAUUUUUAGAUUGAGUUAGAAAAAGAGUUGGUUAAGGCUUUACACGGUGAGGAUGUUCGGCAGUCUAACAGACAAAUUUUGAACACUAUACAUAACUUUAAGUUGAAGAGAAGAAGAUUUGGUUGGGCUUAUUGCCCUUUUAUCUCCUCUACAUGUUGUUUACUCUCAUCUAUCUUUAAUCUCUAAUUUCAUGGGUUUUUUUCUCUAUUGGGACAUUGGUCCAGCAGAUUUCUGUCUUCAAUCGUUUUUACUCUGUAUGCAGUUGCGAUCUAUUUGUAAACUUCAACACAGAUGUGAAUAAAUGGCAUUGAGCACUGUUAUUACUCUGUGAUUUUUUGGGGCGAGGAUUAUUUAACAUAAAUUCGAGUAAAUCCGAUCAUCAAUUUCUGGGCAUUGUGUAAUAUUUUGGGGCAUUUUUGGGUUAUUGAUGACUGAGAAUUGUGAAUGCUAUUGAGUACAUUUUUCAAAUUACCUAAGUAGCUGACUGUACUAGUCCAUGACGCUUUCACCAAUAAGGAGUUUAAGGAAAGUCGAUAUACACGGUCUUAUCUCUAAUUAUUUAUUUAGAAACUAUUUCCAUGGUACGAACACUAGUCUCCUAGGUCGCAAAAGAGCGAUCUUACCGUUGUACUAAGGCCCACCCUCCAAUGACCUAAAAUCGAAACUUGUUCAGCAGUUAUUAUGUAUCGACAUUUGGAAUUACAAUAUUUGUUGGUCAUUAGAUUUAGGUCAUGGUAGGAAUGCCAGGCAGUAGGAUCAAGAAAGUGGGUAGGAUGACUCAGGUGGAUUGCCAAGCUGGUGGCAUUUCCAAAACUGACAAUUUUAAAAGGCAUGUAUCAAAAUGUUGUUUAUUCAGUUCUACAUGAUAUUACCAUGCUUUUUGUAAUUUAUUGCACUGUUCGAUGAGAACCAUGUGUGUGUCUGGCAUCCAUCCGCUUUUUUCAUGUUGGGAAGAACCAUAUCAUAAAAAGUUCAGCAAGUUCAGAUUUGUACUUGUGUAACGAAUUUGUGUUCAUCUCAUAGUUAUGUGGUUUCCUGGUUUCUGUAUCUUUGUUGCCCUUUUAUAUUUUUGUAUUUUUAGCUGUUGCAGCACUAUGCUGCUUUGGAUUUAGAUUUUUGUCUAGAAGUUUCUGAUUUUCACCUGCAGCUGAUACAUAUCGGUCAUCUUAAAAUUAUCCACUAAAAUUGUUGGCCCACCUCAAUUGAUAUGAUGACCGUUAUUCUUUAGUGACGCUUCGACUUCAUAGUUAAACAAUGGCUAUUGCAUUGUAUGCUAUCAGAGAGUUUUGGUUCCUCAUUCUUCUGGGCUUAUUUUUGUAUGAUAAUCUGUAUCAUUGACCUAGUUGACAUAGUCUAUUUUCAUUUUUGUUGAAACAGAUGUGUUCUUCUUGGUGUGAGCUGCGGUGCUAAUAUUGCUGAUUUUGUGGCUCGAAAGGCAGUUGAAGCCGGAAAACUUGCAGAGCCAGUUAAGGUUGUUGCCCAGGUCCUGAUGUAUCCCUUCUUCACUGGAAGUGCACCCACACGAUCGGAAAUAAAACUAGCAAACUCUUACUUCUAUGACAAGGCCUUGUGCUUGCUUGCUUGGAAGUUGUUCUUACCCGAGGAGGAGUUCAGUUUAGACCAUCCGGCUGCAAACCCUGUUGUUUCUGGGUGGGGACCACCAUUGAAAUGCAUGCCUCCAACCCUCACUGUGGUUGCAGAACAUGACUGGAUGAGGGAUCGAGCAAUUGCAUACUCCGAGGCGCUCCGAAAAGUGAAUGUUGAUGCACCAGUCCUAGAAUACAAGGAUGCAGUUCAUGAGUUUGCCACACUGGACAUGCUCCUCAGGACACCUCAGGCACUAGCCUGUGCUGAUGAUAUCGCCAUAUGGGUGAAGAAGUAUAUAUCAAUACGCGGACAUGAAUUCUCAUAUUAGUUCUGGCGGUUUUAUGGGACAUCUUGCUUUUUCUUUAACCAGGCUGCAAUUUUAGAUGAAUCUGAGUAUCCAAUUUGAUGAGUAGAUUCUUUCAUGAUAUUUCUGUAUGUGGCAACUUGCAAGGCUAUGGCUCUGUUGGUUAUCAUGCUUUUCCUCGUAGCUCUCAUUCUUUUAUUUCUUUCCAUAUUUCCUGUAAUAUAUAGUCAUGUAAACUGUAGACCACUAAUAUAAUAGCAAAGUCUCUCCAAUUUCAUUUCUGGCACCCUUUGAUUCUUCCCCAGUGAAUGAACCCUUCAGUGGGGAUAUAUUCUCUGGUGGAAGGCCUCAUAAACCUAACAGCCCUAGUGCCUUCAAGUUUGAGAGUAUAUGCUUUCUAGUUCUUAUUUCUUUCUUUUCUUGUGAUUGAAACUUGUCGCCACGGGAACCUGGAAGUGUAUUUUGUGGUCAGCGAGUUGAGGUGAUGGUAAAAGCACUUUUGCUCAAUCAAAAGCUGGUACUAAAUUACUAACGCAGAUGAUUGAUGUGUACUAAAUUACUAAUGCAGGGUGACUUGUCAUUUGGUCUGUCUGAAGCACAAGAUGUCUAAUUCCAUCUGUCUUGGCAAAUUAGACAUUUACUUCAGUUUAUUUCUUCACGCAUUAGGUGUUUUUCCCUUUGUGCAAUUUAUGGAUUAAUAGAGUCUGUAAGACUGUGAUAUGUUAUUAUUGCAUUGAGUUAGAUCUUUUUUCCUACAUCUUUUUGUUCUUAUCUCGCUUACAAACACAAAUUUGAAAGGCUAAUGCCGAUGUUAAUUCUUUUCUUUUUCUUUUUCUGUCGUUCUCGACAAAUCAAUCAAAACCUCCUUGGAGUGUUGCUAGCGUAUAAAUCUUUAGUUAUAGUUUUAAGUAGAUCCUUUUAUGUGUUUAUAGUACUGUCACCGAGUCAAUUGGUUUUACCUCAGUUUUCGUUAUGAAUUCCUUAAAGAUCUAUAAAAGAAAAGAUGAAUUAGAGGAAUUGUUUAAUUUGGGAUCCAAUAAACAGUUAUUUUAGUAAAUACUUGAUAGUCAACGUAAAUUACAAAUAUAAAUUUCGCAAGCUUUGAAUGAUUAUGCGAUAACGAAUCCAAGGUGGUUCGUCGUGACCUUUAUAAGUUUUCAUAUGAUAUUACUAUGGAACAAGGUAGCAAGCUUGCCCUAGAUACUACCCUAAAGGUUUAUCCAACCAUGUGCCACCUAGAUAACUCUUGGGUGUUGGACCGACGGACACUCUAUAUCACUCUACGGAGCUAGAAAACCCUUAAAAUAGUUACCUGAAUGGUUUAUUUCUAGAUAGUUUUGCCUCUGCAUGAUGACUACACACAACCUAUACUUACAAGAUUGAAACGACUACAAAAGCCAACCAAAAUGGGGUUACCAAGCUUACUAUAAGCCAUCGACAUAUUGUGCAAAGCAUAAACAAAACUGAAAGAUAUGAACAUACACAAGUAUUCCAUUGAACACCUUAUUUACAACUUUAUCUGUAAUAUUCUUCGCUACUGAUUCUUUCGACAUCCUUGUCCUCACCUUUGUGGACUUUGCUCAUUACCUUUGCUGAAUAUUCAAUCUUCUACUCUAUUUGCAACGCACCUCUUGGCUCCUAAUUGCUCUUCACUGCGGUUGUUAAGUAAUCGAACUUUGAUCCGCUAACACUACUUCAACUCGACAAUGAUUUUUUACUCUAGUGUGAGGUCGAUCGAAUUGUACUAAUCUUUAUUAGUUCUUGCAGAUCCCUCCAACGAAGGAAAAGACAUUCAUUGUUAUUGCUAGUUAUAGGUGUCACGCAAGCCAAUCACAUGAGUGAUGACAUAUGUGACACGUUGCAUAAUCUUUAUUAUUAUUAUUAUUAUGGUAUUUUAUCAUUUUACAUUGAUAAUGAAUAUAUUAUGAUAUUCUUGGAUCUGUCCAAUAGGAAUUGGAUCAUGAUGGGAUCAUGAUAAUAAGAUCAAUUUACCUAUAAAUACAAACUCUAAAUAUUCAUGAUUAUAGGUUACUCAAGAGGGGCAUCAAGAUAACUGAAUAGACCGAUGUGCUAUAUACCCAUCCAUAUGAUGGAGGCAGUUAGUCUCAUAACUGCUUGUAUGGGGACACUAAGGAUAUAGUGCAGGUGCUCAUUAGAGAAUGAGUUCACUGAAUGAGUCGCUUACAGAAUGCUGGUUGAUUGAUGAUACAUCAUCGUCAGAUAAUGAUUCUAUAAUCUCAAUUGUGUGUCUGAUCCUUAGAUUUGAGACACCAAAGAUGUCCUCUAUGAAUACUCCACUCUUUGAUACCAAACUUAUAGGUUUGAAAGUUCUAAAUCUAACAUAGUUGAUCAUCAGGAGUGGUAGCCAAUCUUACGAGAGUAAUUAGAUGUCAAUAGUGUAGGAAAAUCUAGGGGUGACAUUACAUAUGUAGCGGAAGAACAGAAAACAAAAACCCCAAAUUUUUCAAAAAGGUAUUCAUCGUCGUGCGACGAUUAGUGCACAAAAUCCACGAAACUAAAAACCACACAUGAGAUAGUUGUAUUACCUAGGGAGAUUAUAUAUCCUUGAAUCCCUACAUAUUUGUAGGAGAGGAUGGAGGAGGUCAAGCAUCCUCCUCUCUAGUGGUGAUCCACAUAGUAGAGCUACGACGAUGCUCCUUAAAUCGUUGUUCAAAUCUUCACACCUGCUAUCUAAGGAGGAGAAUGAGAGAGGAGAAUAGGAGGUGGCAACUAAGAAAACUCUAACCUAUGAGCCUUUGGUUCCCUCCUAUUUAUAGAGGUCUAAUGUCAACUUAACCUUAAUGGAUCCUUCCCUAUUGGGUACUAAAUCUUUAUUCAACUACCCAAGCCACUUAGAUUAGUGAAUUUCUAUUCAAUAAUCUCUCGUUAGCUCUUAUUGGAUCUCAUCCAUAGGAUCCAAUAAUUCAAGGGCUUAUUGGAUAUCCAAUAAGAUAGGGGCUCCGGCGGAUAUCUCAUAUCCAAACCUUUACUCGUCAUAAUGCCUACCAUAUGUGUGUGACCCUCUAUAUCCAAUAUCGAGCUGAUUGUGAGUCAUAUCUAUCAAAACUCAUUCUGGCUCAGUGAAUUAUUAUCUCCAUAAUAAUUCACUUGACUCAUCGAUUACGAGCGUACUAUGCCACUUCGCCAUAGACCCCAAACGAUAUAGGAGAAUCCAAUCCAUUGGACAUGUCUAUCCUCAAUUAUCGUGCAUCUAUAGUCUCUCAUCCAUCUAAUAUCCCAGAGACCAUAUAUUGAGCAUGGUGCUAUCAUACCCAUGUGGUUUAUACUUGAGUCUCACUCUAAUCGGAUUCUCUCGGAGAACUCUUUCUCUCUCAAUCUGAAUGACUCUAGCUAGGGACUUGUUUGAGCAAGAACACAUAGGACAUUCCUCUCAUGACACCGAGAGUGAAUGAGCCUCUAUCGAUACUCAAUAGUCCUCGUAAAGUUGGUUGUUACUCCCAAUGACCGGUUGUGCUAGAUCUGAAACUUUCAGGCCUAAAAGUCUAUAUUAAAGAAUGAAGUAGUCAUACAGGACAUCAUUGGUAUCUCAAGUCUAAGAACCAAGUACACCACGAGGAUAAUAGAAUCAUUGUUUGACAAUGAGAUAUCAUUAAUCAUCCAGUAUUCCAUGAGCGGGAUCAAUCAAUGAACUCAUUCUCCAAUAAGCACUUGUAUUGUGGCCCUAGUGUCCCCACAUGAGUAGCUAUGAGACUAGCUACCUCUAUUAUAUGGACGGGUAUACAAUAUAUCAGUCUGUUUGGUUAUCUCGAUGUUCCUCUCGAGUAACCUAUGACCACGAUUAUUUAAGGUCUCAUUAUCGUGAUCUCAUCAUGAUCUGAUUCUCAUUGCAUAGAUCCAUAGAUAUCACAAUAUAUNNNNNNNNNNNNNNNNNNNNUUAUGUCACACGUAUCAUCACUCACGUGAUUGACUUGUAAGGCACCUAUGACUAGCAAAUAGAGAAUCAUCCACUCUCGGUAUUAUGAGAUGAAUAUCUCAUAUGCUCUCACUUAAGCAAAUCCCUAGCUAGGGUUAAUCAAAUCAUGAUAAACCUGAUAAACUGAGAUUUAGAUUGAGAGAUAAUGAGUUCUAUAGGAGAAUUCGAUUAGAAUGAGAUUCAGAUAAAUUUCGUAUAAGCUUGACAGCUCUAUGCCCAAUAUAUAAUUUCUGGGAUAUUAGAUGGAUGAUGAACUAUAGAUACACGAAAACUAAGGGCAAGUAAGUUCAAUCGAUUAUAUCCCCUUAUACCGUUUAAGGACUAUGGUGUAAUGGUUUAGUACGUCUAUAGUCGAUGAGUUGAGUGAAUUAUUAUGAGGGUAACAAUUCACUGAGUCAGAAGGAGUACUAAUAGGUGCAACUCAUAAUCAACUCGGUAUUGGGUAUAAAGGGGACAAUUGGGCCUAGAGAGUCACGCACAUAUGGUAGACAACGCGAUGAGUAGAGGAUUGGAUAUGAGAUAUCUAAUAAAUUUCUAUUUUAUUGGAUUCAUUGAGUGAGACCCAAUAGGGCUUACAGUAGUUAUUAGAUGGGGAUCCAAUAUCCAUGAAGUUAAGGUAAUUGGAUGGAGAUCCUGUUGGGGAUGGAGGAGCAAAGAAAUGAUAAAAAUAGAAUACUAUGAUACAAGUAAAAAGAAUCCUUUCGAUCAAAAAAAUCGAUGUAGUAUUUAAAACAAGAUGAUUGACAUAGAACACUUUUAAGAUAUUCCCAAGUGUAUUCUUCUUCUAUCUUGCUUCAUGAACUAUGGUCCUAUUUAUAGGACCUAGUGGUAACUACCUCACUUCCCAUGUCACCCAUGAUUGAGGUAGUUAUAGGAACUACCCUAUAACUUCUAGAUCAUGGGCCACUUCUUGAAACAUGCCUAAAACUACCCUAAACAUGGUAACUACCUAGAUAACUACUAUGAAUCAAUUCUCAAUACUCCCCCUUGAUUCAUAGUUACAUACACCAAUUUACGAUAUGAAAUAAAUAUGCUUUUGAAUUGGAAGUAACUUGGUGAGGAUAUCCGCAACUUGUUCAUUUGUUCCACAAUAUUUCAUUAAUAUGGCUCCACUUGCAACAAGAUCCCGGAUGAAAUGAUAGCGUAUCUCUAUAUGCUUCGUUCUUCUAUGAAAUGUUAGAUUCUUCAUCAUUGAAAUUGUGGCUUUGUUGUCACAAAAUAUUUCUAUCACUUCUUUUUGUUCUUGAGGAAGAUCUUCAAGAAGUCUUCUAAGCCAUAUUGCUUGAUAGACUGCUAAUGUUGCGGCUACAUAUUCUGCUUCCGAUGUCGAUAACGCGGUUGUUGUUUAUUUCUUUGAACUCCAAGAUAUAGCUCCUGAUCCGAGGCUAAAAAUAUUACUUGAAGUACUCUUUCUAUCAUCUAAAGCUCCUGCCCAAUCACUAUCAGUGAAACCAAAUAAUUUACAUUUAAAAUUAUGAGAAUACCAAAUACCAUAAUCUGUAGUUCCAGCAAUAUAAUGCAGAAUUCUUUUAAUAGCUCCGAGAUGAUAUUUGCUUGGGCUAUGCAUAAACCUAGAUACUACACCAAUAAAGAAGAUAAUAUCUGGUCGAGUAUGAGUUAGAUAAAUCAAACCUCCAACCAAACUUCUGUAGUAUCUUGCAUUUGUUAGACAUGUACCAUUUUCAAGUUUUAGUAUCUCAUUUACAUUCAUAGGUGUUGCUGCAGCUUUGCAAUUAAUGAUAUUAGAUUUUUUGAGUAGAUUCAUUGCAUACUUUUUUUAUGAAAUAAAUAUUUCAUCUAAUCCUUGCUUCACUUCCAACCCAAGAAAAUAAUAUAGUAAACCUAGAUCUGACAUUUCAAACUUAUUCAUCAUAUACUUUUUAAAUUCUGCUACAAAAGAGUUAGAUGAACCCAUAUAUAUAAUAUCAUCAACAUAGUGACAAACCAUUAGAAUAUUAUGUUCACCUUCCUUCUUUAGAUAAAGAGUAGGUUUAUUAUUGCUCCUCUGAAAUCUAUUUUGAUGAAAAUAAUAAUCAAUUUUACUGUACUAUGCCCUUGGAGCUUGUUUAAGCUCAUAAAGAGCUUUUCUUAGCUUAUACACCUUUUCUUCAUGUCUUUUAACCAAAAAAUCUUCAGGUUGAGUAACAAAAAUCUCUUUAUGUAAAUCACCAUUUAAAAAUGUAGAUUUCGCAUCAAAUUGAUAAACAGGCUAACUCAAGUGAGCAGCUAAAUCCAAGAAAGUUCUCACGGUUUCGAAUCUAGCAACUGGAGAAAAAGUAUCAUCAAAAUCAAUACCUUAUUGCUGUGAAUAUCCUUUUGCUAUAAGCUAAGCCUUAUGCUUUUGGAUACUUCCAUCUGCAUUAAACUUUGUUUUGAACACCCAUUUUAAUCCAAUAGCUUUCUUUUCUUUUGGUAGAUCCAUUAGCUCCUAAGUUUCAUUCUUCUCAAUUGACUUGAUUUCCUCCUUUAUUACUUUUCGUUAUUCCUUCUUUUCAACUACUUCCUCAAAAGCUAUAGGAUCUGAAAUAAAUAAAGUAAAUGUUGAGUCAUAAAUUUCUUUUAGUAAUCUAAAAUUUCUUGGAGGGGUUUCAUUUGAGGAAUCAGAAUUUGAACUGCUACUAGGUGAGGUUGGCGAUGAACUUUUUGGAGCAGGAUCUGUCAUUUGAUUCUGCUGAGUGUCUAGUUAUACUAGAAUAUAAAUUUGUGUUCUACCUUUAUUGGUCUCCUAAUUCCAACUUACAUUUUCAUCAAACACAACAUUUCUGCUAAUAAUAACUUUGCCACUAAUUGGAUUAAAUAAUCGAUAUGCUUUGGAUUGUAAAGAAUAACCAAUUAAGAUGUAUUUUUCAUAUUUUUCAUCAAGUUUGUGAUGAUUUUAUGAAUUCAUCAAAGCAUAAACAAUACGGUUAAAAAAAUUUAGAUGGCUUACACUUGGUUUCAUAUCAUACCAAGUCUCAAAAGGUGUUUGAUUCAUAACAACCUUUAUUGGUAAAAUAUUUAACAAAUAAAUUAUUGUUGCAACUGCUUCUGCCCAAAACUGAUUUAGAAGGUGUUUUCCUUUAAGUAAACUUCUUGUCAUUUCAACGAUAAUUUGAUUCUUACAUUCAGAUAUACCAUUUUGCUCCGGUGUAUAUAGUGCUGUCAAUUCUCUGCGAAUAUCAUUUUCUUCACAAAAAGAAUUAAAUUCAUUAGAUAAAAAUUCACCAUCUCUAUCUGUCCGAAGUGUCUUUAUGUAUCUACCACUUUGCCUUUCUACAAGUGUCUUGAAUUUUUAAAAAUUAUCAAAUGUUUCAGAUUUCAGUUUCAGAAAAUAUACCCAACUCAUGCGACUAUAAUAAUCAGUAAAUAAUAGAAAAUAUUGACUUUCACCAAAUAAUUUUGUAUUCAUAGGUCCACAUAAAUCAGCAUGAAUUAAUUCAAGAUAAUUAGAUGCUCUUUAUGCUUUUCUAAUAGGAAAUAGUUUUUUACUUUGUUCCAUAAAUGCAUCCUUCAUAUACAUCAAAUGUAUUAAUUUUAGGCAAUCCGAAAACCAUUUCUUUUUUAUUUAACAACCUUAAACCCUUAAUGUUAAAGUGUCCAUAUCUUAAAUGUCAUAAAUUUUGCUCAUUUUUUUGAGUUGCAACAAAAGCAUACUUUUUAAUAUUUGAAACAUCAAGUGGAAACAUCUUGUUUUGCGUCAUACACUUGUUUUGCGUCAUACAAACAUUUACUGUAAUCAAACUAGAUUUUUUAUCUUUAAUAGUGCAUGAACCAUCAUCAAAUAUAACUGAAUUUUCAUAUCUAUCAAUUGUCCAAUACUCAACAAGUUAUGUAAUAAGGUAGGAACAAAGAAAAUAUUAUCAAGGUAUUUUACCUUCCCUUGAUUUGUCUUCACCUUAAUUGUUCCUUUCCCUUCCACCUAGAUUUGCUUGUUAUCUCCAAGUCUAACUUUCAAUUUAUGAAUUUUAUUAAUAUCUCUAAACAUUUAUCUUAUGCCUGAUAGAACAUCCACUAUCCAGAAACCAAAUAUCAUUUGAGAUAUCAUUAACUUAUGAAUAAAUCAUAAACAACUUACUAUUUUCUUCAUUUUCCUCCACAUAGUUUGCUUGCUUUUCUCUUUUCUAGCAAUUUGCCUUCUUGUGACCAAACUUUUUACAAUAGUGUUAUUGAAUUCCACUCUUGUAAUUUUUUUGAUCAUAAUUUGAUUGUCUUUGUUCAUCAUGCCCAUCAAAGUAUCCUCUUCCUCUUCCUCUUCCUCUUUUAUUUCCUCUACCACAAAAUCCUCCUCUGCCAUAUCCUUUUUCUGCUGAUUUUUUAUCUUCUUUUGAAGUAGAAGACUCCUCAUUAACCUGAAACACUUUUUCUUCACUUUUUUCAAGUGACCUAUUCAACCUUGCUUCAUGUGCUUGCAAGGAACCCAUUAGUUCAUCAAAUGAAAAUAUAGAUAAAUCCUUUGACUCCUCAAUUACGAUAACAACAUGAUCAAAUUUUAAAGUUAAACUUCUCAAAACUUCUACAAUAAUUAUAUGAUCAAGAAGAUGUUCACCAUAAGAUUUCAUUUGACUAACAAUUUUAGUCACUCGAGAAAGAAAAUCGUGCACCGAUUCAUUGAUUUUCAUGAACAAAAUUUUAAACUCACGACGAAGGGUUUGAAGUUUUAUUGUAAUCACCCUUGAUGAGCCUUGAAAUUCAUUUUGAAGUAUUAACUAAGUUUGCUUUGAGGUUGUCGCUACUGCAAUUCUUAAGAAGAUUGUCUCAUGUACAGCUUAUUGAAUGAAGAACAAUGCCUUUGAGUCCUUCUUUCUAUUCUCCCUUAACCUGAUUUCGUCAUCUGAAUCCGCAUAUUUAUUCUCUAUUAAGUCCCAAAGAUCUUGAGACUUAAAUAGAGUCUUCAUCUUGAUACUCCAAAGUUUAUAGCAUUUGCCCAAGAAGAUGGGAAUAAGGGGUUGAGACAUGGAGUUGCCAUUGAAAGUCAUAACGCCCAGUUCAAAUUAAAACUUAGCUUUGAUACCACAAUUGUUGGGGAUGGAGGAGCAAGGAAAUGAUAAAAAUAUAAUACUACGAUGCAAGUAAAAAAGAAUCCUUUCGAUCAAGAAAAUCGAUGUAGUAUUUAAAACAAGAUGAUUGACAUAGAACACUUACAAGGUAUUCCCAAGUGUAUUUUUCUUCUAUCUUGCUUCAUGAACUACGGUCCUAUUUAUAGGACCUAGUAGUAACUACCUCACUCCCCAUGUCGCCCAUGAUUGAGGUAGUUAUAGGAACUACCCUAUAACUUCUAGAUCAUGGGCCACUUCUUGAAAUAUGCCUAAAACUACCAUGAACAUGGUAACUACCUAGAUAACUACUAUGAAUCAAUUCUCAACAGAUCCAAUGCUUAUUAAGACAAGAUCCAUUAUGGCAAGUGAAGAGGGUUAUCUAUAAAUAAGAGUUGGGGCUUUCUGGGUUAUAGGUUAGACCCCUACUGUCGCCACCUCCGACAUCUCCUCCCUACUCCUUCCUCCAGCCGAUUGCCCCCUCUUUGAUGUGAGAGGAUAGCAAGAGGGACCAAUCCCUCUUUAGUUGCGUGAUAUGGUGGUACACGAACAUAAAAAAAGAAUGUGCUACAUGAGAAGGUGUGUUGUAGCCGCAUCCGUUGUGUGGAUCACCACUAGAAAGGAGUUAGAGAGAGCUCCUUCAUCCACGGAUUGAGAUCUGUAUAUUAGGGGAUAUACGAUCUCUUCUAGGUAAGAAUGUCUCAACUACUAUACGUAGUUAUAUGGUUUUUAUCGCUUUCGAGUUUUACACUCCUGAUCUUUCACAUGACGAUUCAUUAAGAUUGAUUUGGGAAAUUGAUUUUUUUAUUUUUAUUUUCUACUAUGCAUGUGAUGCUCUUUGUAAUUUCCUAACAAUUGUGCACUAAACUCUUAAAUGUGUUAUGUCGCUUGAACUAAGUGGAUGCUUAAAGCCUUAAUAAGCAUCGCCUCAUAAACUUUAAAGUUUUUAAAGUCUUUCAUCCAUAAAAUUUACCCAUCAAUUUCUCUUCUACUUAGUUGUCGCCUUUAACUAGGUUUGCAUCACUUCAGUUUUUAAUUAAUAUUCUACUAGGAAAUUAAGUGAAUAAUCUACUCUCGGUAGAAUUGAUCAUCAUUAGUGAGGAUUUGACAAUGGUUGUAUUUUGCUAAGUUUCUAUGAAGAGUCUUUGAACAUAUAUAAAGCUCCUCUGCUCGAUAAAUAAGAGAACUAAGGUACUCAAUUUCGCUCAUUCUCUUAAGAGUUGAGAAGGUAAAGGUUACUUGACUUCGUCCACCUCCCCAAGGGUUAUACAUCAUGUAUCAAACUAGUUACUAGCCUUCGUUUGCUCUUCACUUUCACUUUUAAAGCACCCAAAGUAUUUGCACUCCUUACAUUAAGUUAGCUAUUACAAUUCGCCUCCUUAUUGCCAUCGAACUUAUAAAAUGAAAAAAAAAUUUGCCUGAAAAGAGUAAAAUUUAACCUCGACUUGGAGCAAGUCAUCAAUAGUUUUGGUCGCCUUUAGGAUUAUAUCGUCUUCUCCAUUAUUUCCACUACCUACUCCUCUAAGUAGAAAAAAUACAACACCAUAUACUACCUACUUUAUUCUUUAGUUAAGCACUCUUGUAUUAACCCAAAGUCUUCCCAUUUUUAGCUAUUUUGAUGAGAAGCCUGUCGACACUAGUCUUAUGAAAUUUUCUAGCCUCUGCCCUUCAACAUUAUGUUAGUACUUAAAGGUUACCUCAGUAUUCUCCACCUCCUUGAUCCCUUUUACGACUAAGCACUCUCCUUUCAUUAGAGUCAGAAUUGAUGACUCCAUAGAAGUCCCACCUUUGUGGUUUCAUGGCACUGUCAUACCUAUGGCCCUAGUAUUCAUCGCCUCGUAUUUGCAUCUCUUUAUUCAUGAUUGAUAGAUCUUCUACUAUGGUACUAUGGCAAUUCUCCGAAUUUACCUCCAUUCAAACCGACGUAUGGUUUUGGGUAGUUAGGUCUCUCUAGAAUCAUCGUCAUUUCCUCACCCUUUCAACUACUUAUUUCAACACCUUUAUAUUCUUCGAGCAAUUUUCCUUAGUCGAUGAAAAGAUAGACUACAAUUCUCAUGCAUAUCAUCUACCAUCAUAUUGCAAAGCUCACACCAAUUCUAUUCUCUUUUACAUCCUUGGUAGCAAUAUUCACUCGCUCGGCCUUGUCCUCCAACUUGUCGAGCUCUCUUAAAUGAAUAUGAGCUCCAAAGUAGUCCAACUCUCUAACCACUCCGCUUAUACCUCUAUAUAAUCAAGUUUCCCCUAUAGAACUCACUACUGAUACUUGCACUCAAAAUUCUCCCUCGAUGGUACACAACCCUUAUAUAUUAAUAACCAAGGCUUUCAUCUAAUGCAAAAUUUGAUAUAUGCAUAAACAAACCGCCUUUAUGGUACCAUGAUAUUUACUCCUUAAAUCCAUAGCUUUCUUGUUGUCAUAUUGUUUAUCGAAAUGGAGCUCCCAAUAGCUCCCAAUCAUACCUUCAUAUGAUCAAGCCCCCAUGGGACUUGUCCCAUGUGUGAUAUAUUGCCUCAAACUGUUCUACCACGAUCCGCUAUACCAUGUCGUCUCCUGAUGAUAUCUUCAUUACAUUCUAAUCUUUAUGAGAUAAACUUGGAUUAUGAUCUCUUCAUGUGUGGCAUUUCUUAGCACAUUGCAAGGCUUUCGUCAUCUCUGAUUAUAUUCGUUCCUUUGGUAAUCGACCUUUGUCUACCUAUUCUCGAGUCAUCCAUAGCCAAAACAUGGAUCUAAGAUAAUCCAUCGCCUAGCAACUCUUGAAGUUCACCGACUUUAUUAAAAUUAGUGCAUAAUUAUCUGGAUCCUAACUCUUGCCCCUAGCAUAAUCUCCACUAUACACAAUUUCCAUUGUGGUAACUUGAAUGACAACACUACGAUAUAUUUUUCAAGAGUACCUGACUUUGCAUCCUCUUACCCCAUGUCAAGGCUUUCUAACACCAACUUUCCUUCACAAGUUAAGUUGUCUUAGUCCUUCCGUCAAUUACUUCAUCGAGAUAAAGUGCAUAUGCCUCAAAGCUCCAUUCGACUUUGGCACCAUGCAAGAUGAGUCCGCUCCAUUAGAAUGAGGGACCCAUGGAAUGAUAUGAUUUAGCUCUUACCUCUACAAGAGUACAUAUCCUUGAUUUCUAUCUAAGAAAAGAUUCAUGCCUCCACUCCAUGUUCUAUAUUAUAUAUCGACUCCCUUCAUGCGGCUUAGGCAUUUUACCAAGUUUUACCUAAGUUGCUCUGCUCCUCGAUUUGUAUUGAGUAAAUGGUGAUCCUUGCGCCUACUAUUCCACGGGUCUGCUCUUCGUUGAAUCCAAUAUCCAUAUCGAUUCUAAGUAUGCUUUCGUUUGAUAUUACAUUGGGUCGCUCACCCACUUAAUCUCAUAAUGCAUCCACCAAUGUAUUACCUCAUGUGAUAGCUCAUCGCUGCUCGCUCAGUCCGUUGAGCUUUGUGGAGCUAUGCUUUAAGGUACCCCUCCUUAACAUGUGCAAUUCGUUAUACAUAAUUCUCUCUCUAGAGAACUAAGAUUUAUCCUUCUUGGAUAUCUAUCUCAUUGGAGUAACUUUUCUCUUCAUAUCCUUCUAUUUGGAAGUUUUGGAGACCACAAUCCCCUUAGACUACUUCACUUGUUGAACAAAUUAUACACUAUUCCACCCCCGUGAACACACUUACUAGAUUGUAACUCUUCGCCAAUACAACUCUCGUUAUGUCUCUAGAGGCCUAGCAACAUAGCAAAUUUACUAUACACUUACACCUCCUACGGAAAUAUUCUUUCAUGCUAAAGGAAAAGUUUCAAUGCUCCAUAACACCGAGUUUCGAUCACUUGGGAUAGCCACGGACAAUCCAUCAUCCACUUACAAGCCCUUGUAUAUGUACUAAAUUCUUUAAGUUAGCAAUUUCCCUUACCUCUGUGAGCUUUGCAUAGCUUUUUCGAUCAUUAAGAAACUUAUCCCUCCUUUGUCAAGUGCCUACUUAGCUUGAGCAUCGUCAAGUUUGAUUGCUAACAUCAAGUCAUAGCUCGAACUUAGCCAUCUCAACUUUUAUGCACUAUGCAUUCUUCUCAGUUCACUUGUCCUCAUGGUGUCUCUCACAUGAAGGAUUGGUCAUUCCUCUGAAUGUCAAUCUUGGAUGCCUACUCCUCUGAACAACUUCUUUCCCUACAUCUCUAUACUCAUUUCCCUCAAAUGAUCAUGGAUGUUGGGUGCCCUCAACGCAGCCCUGUUAGAUCCCUCACAUUUGCAUACUAAGUGUUUUGAAGUGUGUUUGUCCCACUCUAAUACCAUCUGUCACAAACUUAACUAGUUUUACCUAAGUUAUGCGGUACUUUUGCAUAUCAAUCCACAAAGGGUCAGCCUCUCCGAAACCUCUUGACCCUGUUAGGACCCUUUUUCUGAGCUUUUGAAUAAUGUUUAUUGAGUCAGUUUAUUUCAGUUGUUUAUUGAGUCUGUUUAGCUCAAUUAGAGUCGAGUAGAAGUUUAUUUAAUAUUUAAUUAUUAUUAAGAGUCCAAGUCCUAAUGGACUCUAGGUGGAACUCUAUAAAUAGUGAUGUAACCCUUUCUUUAAAUCAAUCAAUCAAUAAAAUAUUAUUCCAGUUUGUUAUGAUAAACCCUAGGAGGCUGAUCCCCUCAAAGUGAUCAAGAAGACUGAUCCCCUCGAAGCGAUCAAGGAGGUCGAUCCCCUCGAAGUGAUCAUUAUUAUUCCCUUUUCUCCCCUUUCUUCCAUGAUAAGACCUUUGGGUCUUAUCAUUUGGUAUCAGAGCGGUGAUUCUUUGCGUUCUCACUGCAAUAUUGUCAUAGCUAUCAAAAAAAAGAAAAGGAAGGAAAGGCCAGCAGCCACGCACAUAAUCGAGAACCCCUGCUUCCAACAAGCCCACCACCACCGCUGCUCUCUGGCCAACGACCACCGCCGCCGCUGCUGUAAGGUGACUCCACCACUACCGUUGCUUCCCUUCUUCCCCACCGCUGCUGUAAGGAAACUCCUCCACCACCGUCGCUGCUUCCCGACUGCUCAACCACCGCUGUCGCUGCUCCCCGGCCAGCGGCCUUCGCCUCCUCGCUGCCCCAUCUCGAUCGAGCGAGAAGGGCCACGGCCACUACUUCAUAGCCAGCGGACCACCUCCUCGUCACUUCUACCGUCAGCGAUGCUACCCCAAUUGCGCCACCAUCGCUGUCCCCCCUUGGGUCACAAUCGCAGUCACUCAACCAUCCAUUCUUGCGACGAUAAAAAAAAAGAGGCAACCACAACUACCGCAGCCACUGCCAUUUCCUCAACCACACGUGAUCCCUUGGUGUCACCCGCCUCCUUCCAUAAUGUGUCAGAGACAGAGCAACACUGCCUUCCAUCCGUGCCAUCGUAGCCACCGCAGCGACGCUACCCCCAGUCACACCACCAUCGCUGCCUCCCAGCCCUCAGCAGCAUCGAUCUCUCCACGCAACGACCGUAAUAAGCAUCGUUGCCUCCCAUCUGCAUCGUUGCAGCCACCGCGGCGAUGAGCCCUUGGCGGCGCUACCCCCAACCGCACCAUCGUCGCUGCCUUCCCUUAGGUCGCAACCGUCGCUAUAGGUUGCCAUAACCGCAGCCUCAACCCUGCUGCUUGGCAAUCACCCCCUUGGGUCGCAGUAGCUUCAGCCACACCGACGCAGUCGCCUUCCAACCCUUGGCGGUCUCACCCCAUGCAGUGACAGAAACAGGGCAGCAUCUCUUCCUCCAACACAGCAACCGCAGCAUUGCCCUAUGCGUCCACCUCCUCGGCAACUUCGUAUCGACAGUGCUGAUACCCUUGACCAACAUUAAAAACAGGAGUUGAGAUUACAGAUUUGUAGUUUUAUGCAAUGGUCACCGAUAACUCAGUGAAAGCACAAAUGAAAGCAUUAGAAAUCAGAAUUGAGAAUCGACUGUAAGAAACACUUAAUGAUUUCAAAAAGAGCCUAUUGGAGAGCCUCAGCAAAUUUUAACAAAAUGAGGGCUCAAGUUCUACGUUGCACAUAUCUGAAAAUGCAGGAAAAGGGCCCCAAGAUUGUGACACAAACUACUCACACAUGAAGGUGAAAUUUUCGAGAUGGGAAGAUGGGGAUCCGACUACUUGGAACUUUAAGGUGGAAAAUUUUUUUCGUUUUCACAAAACCCCAGAAGAAUCUAAGAUAGAAGUGGCCUCAAUCCAGCUUGAUGGAGAUGCAAUCCAAUGGUACGAUUGGUAUGAAACUUUCCAUGGAGUUCCUUCGUGGGACCAGUUCAAAAGAGGGCUUCUUGUUCGCUUUGGCCCAUUCGAAUAUGAGAAUGUUGAUUGUCAGCUCACCAAAAUUUGUCAGACUUCUACAGAGUUGGAAUAUCAUAGUAGGUUUGAAAGAUUGUCAAAUCAAGCUAGAGAUUGGUCAGAAUGACAACUUCUAGGUACAUUUAUUGAAAGGCUUAUUCUAGAGAUCUGGUGUGAAGUUAAGGCUCGUCAACCCCGCAAUAUGAUAACUGCUAUCUCAUUUGCACAUCUAAAUAAAAAAAAAAUUAACAAGGAAAGAUCAACAAAAGAUUUGUACUAUGAUGAAAAGUGGAAUAUGGAGCACCGAUAUAAACAAGGGCAACUUCUGAUGAUUGAACCAAUUGGAGAGGAAUCGAAAGCUAAGAAUGUGGACUCCGAUCAUGAAGGUAUAAAUUCUAAUGAAGAUGUUGGACCGACCAUACAUACAAUGCAUGCAUUAGCCGACUACUCUAACCUGCAAACUAUGGAAGUUGGCGAAACUCUGGAACAUCAACCUGUUAUAGUUUUGAUUGAUACUAGUAGCACUAAUAAUUUUAUGGACAGGUUCUGAUAGUAAAUGUUCAAAGAUAAAAUUGAUUAUACAGGGCCAGGAGUUUUUUGCAACGAUUACUACACUGAAAGACCGACUUGUUGCUUACACUAUCAAAAAGUGGAGACUAUACUUACUUGAUCAACAGAUUAUGAUGCUUUACAGAUAGCCUAUGACUGAAGUGUUGAAAGAGAAGCUCCCUGAGUUUGAUGCUGCUCAGCCUUGAGGACAAGGCUGAUUUGAAGAAGGAGGAAUUGUUAGGACCCUUUUUCUGAGCUUUUGAAUAAUGUUUAUUAAGUCAAUUUAGUUCAAUUGUUUAUUGAGUCUGUUUAGUUCAAUUAAAGUCGGGUAGAAGUUUAUUUAAUAUUUAAUUAUUAUUAAGAGUCCAAGUAUAAACUUCGAAACUCUAUAAAUAGUGAUGUAACCCUUUCUUUAAAUCAAUCAAUCAAUCAAUCAUAAUAACUGCCGUUAGUUAACGAGAUAUUUAGCAUCUCAAUUAGUCAACUUAGAAAAUAUUUUUCUCUCUUCUCAAAGAACUUUUUAGCAUCAGCAAUCUGGAAUCGCAGUUUUGAGGCUGCUUCUAUCUUUUCUCUAUCUUCCAAGACUCCUGCUUCUAUUUCUUUGAAGCCGAACAACAUCUGGAUGAACAUGAACUUAAUUUAUGGAAGAAACUGGGAACCACAAAUCUAAUUUAUUUGUGUAUUAGAUCAGUUGGCAAUAUUCUAAGAUUAAACAUAUUCAACAAAAGUUGUAUUCAGAAAUCAGUAAUUGUAGCAUAUUUGUCGAUACAGGGAACAAAUAUGUACUACUUUUAUAAUAGUUUACUACCAUUCUACAUCUCAAGUAACAAAUGAGGAUGACAAAGACACAUAAUACAUCUAAUUAAAAGGAAAUACAUGCAGAAGAAGUACAAAAAGACAAAAAAAAAAAACUGAAGAAUUAUUCGUCAACCACCACACAGAUAUAAUUAUGUUAUUUUCUGUGAUUGUUUAUGAUAAAAUGUAUCUCCCAAGAAGUCAAAUUGUUGCCAUCCUUGAGAACUGGAUUGUCACUAUAUCUGUUCCAUGUAAAUCAAAAUAUUGAGCUGCUUUGCAUGGAUAGUCAAAACAAUUAACCAUCUCCUACUGCAAACUGUGCAAGCUAGAGAUAAUUUAAAUCUCAAGAUAGUGAUCAAAAUUGUACAACAUGUAAAAUCCUUUUGAAUGGCUCUUCAGAUAAAACGCUUUUUGUCUGUGACAUGUACUUUUAUCGAAGCCAUAUGUCAUUUUCAUCAGUUUGAACACUGGAGAAUCAUGUAACGAUGCAUGAUCUCGGAUCCUCAAGGAUCUCAUUCAGUGUCAUAUAGUUUUCAUCAUAAAACUUGCAAGAAUUGCCAGUAAUGUCCACCAAAUUUCAGCUAAACGUUCUUGCUUCUGCUACCUUUAGCCUUAAGAUUUUCUCCCUUGCGAUUAGAGAGGACCAUUGAAAUCACAACUAGAAACCCUAACACAGAAAAGGCCCAAAGUGCAACCAUCCUUAUCCACGGAGACAUACCCAUCCUACUUGAGGCAUGAAUAGAUAUCACAUUAGCUGCAGGAUUCGUCACAUGUUUCAGUUCAUCUUCCACUACACUAAAAUUACUAUUGCCUUCUGAAGGAAUAGGGCAUUUCCUGCUCUGAUGAUGCAGAUAAAGAGCAGUAUUCAAUGCUUUCCCACAUUCAAUGCUAAGGAUAUCUCUCUCUAAAAUAUUUUCAUCUGAUGUGGAUAGACUUGAACGAUCAGGUGGUUCGGGAAACUUAGCCCAACAUGUAUUUACCAUGUCAACAUUUCCCCAGUCAGCCUUGUCAAAACUCCAAUUCCCAACACCAAAUCUCAGUCCAUAGUGGAAGACCUUGUAUUUGACUCCUGGUUCAGGAACAUAACCUGGGUAUAUCAGUAUGUCACGCCUGAUAAUAUGCCUCAGAUUUAACUGCAAGAAAUUGAUGUGAGCAAGUCAUACAAAAGAAACAGUUAGCUUUUACAUGAUUCAUUGAUCAUAAAAAACAUUGUGGAAAUAGUUCACACUAGUGUAGCAAUACACUGAGCGGCAAUUAUACCUGUUAAAAGCUUGUAAGCAACUGAUUUAGACUCUAUACAGCACAUAUGUGGUUUUGGGAGUUAAGUGAUCAAUUAUGUGAAUACCAAACGCUUGUCUUCCAACAUAAACAGAGAGAUAAUAUAUAUGAAUAGUGCUGUUUGAAUGUACACUGAACGGCAAUCAUAACCAUUAAAAACUUGUAAGAAAAUGAUUUAGAGGCUAUACAACACAUAUAUGGUUUUGGGAGUUUAAGUGAUCAAUUAUGUGAAUACCAGAUGCUUGUCUUCCAACAUAGUUAUAUAUGAAUAGUUCUGUUUGAAUGUACAUCCUCUCAAAGUUUGAAAUGGUGAGACUUGAUGCCAUAAUAAAGUUGAUAUUUUAGGACCUGGAAGUAUUAGAAUCAGGGGAACUACUUUUCUUAGAAGGGUAGAACUCCGUACAUUCACCCUUUCCAAAUUUUGCAUAGCGUUGUGCCCUAGGUUGCCUUUUCCUUUAAUAACUUUCAACAAAUGGAAGUUUGACCCAAUUAAAAAAUUAUUUGAAAAAAUAAGUUCAAUCUAAAAAAUUAAACAGAAAUAACUUGUAUAUUUGCUAAUUGAAGAUAACCCAUAGACCAUUUAGAAAAAGAACCUCAAGAUCGUAAGUUCUAAACAAGGUACAGACUGAUAAUUAGAUUAUUUGCACUCAAACCUUAACCUCUUUUUCCUUUUUACACAAAUGUGCCUAUAAAAUUAGUUCUUGCAUACUUAUUUCUUAGAUAACCACACAACAAUUUCAGAUAAUAUGCUAUCGUAAAUAGAAAUUUAACACAUUUAAGGAAACAUGAUAUGUCAGAUAAAAAAUUACUAAUUAAUCUAACAAUAAUUACAGGCAUUCGGAGCAGACAUAAUACUAGAAGCAUAGGCACAAACAAAAGGAAAUUGGAAGGGUGUGCAAGAACAUAGGCACCUCAGAGGUGCAAUUAUACAAUAAGAUGACUUUUUGUGGGCAUGUGCAGGAAACGAAAAGGAAACAAUCUAAAAUUAGCAGGGUAUGUGUAGUAAAUGAAAAAGAACUACAAAAUCAGCAACAUAUGGAGAAAAAAUUCCCAUUUGAGCUUAGAGAAAUGCACAACAGUACAAAACAACAGGAAAUUAAGAAAUGUGACAUUUGAAGUUCUCAUAUCAACACUUUUUUGUUAAUAGUAUUCUCACACCAACAUUUGCACAGGAAAAAUGACAAUAACAAGAAAAUGUGACAGAUUUAUAAAAUAAAAGAAAUAGGUGAUCCUAAAAUCAGAAUGUUUCUGAAAGUCAUUUGAUUUGUGAUUAACCAGGGAAAGUGAACCUACACAUUUUGAUCUGAGUGACUUGGAUCUCUAUUGUAAGGGAUAUUACGAUUAGUUGCUUAUAUCAUGAAUGUCUUGCUGCAACAAGGCAAGUGGAGGUAGCUAUAGCAGUUUAGAGAGUUUUUGCGAAAUGGAAAUAACAAUCAUAUUUUGCUUGAGCAAUGUUGCCCGGUGAGGCUUUGAUUGAUAGACUUACAGAUGAAAGGAUAUUGAAUUGAGAUAUGAUGGACAGUGCUCUUGUUCCUGAUGGAUUGUUUAAUAAUAAGCGGAAUUCACCCUAUUGUAUAUCUGAAUAAUGAUCAUGUUGCCUGGAGAAACUAUGAACGAUAGACUUACAGUUAAAAGGAAAUUGGAUUGAGAUGUGAUAGCGCUCUUGCAGCUGGCAUAAUUUUUAAAAAUAAGUGGAAUUCAACCCCUGCAGUAAAUCUGAAAAAUGAUCGUGUUUGGGAGUAAAUCAGAAAUGGUGUCUCAAGUGACGAGCACAGGUUUGUUUGGAAACCUACAAAGAGAAGCAAUUUUACAAUUAAAGCAACUUGGGAGAAUAUGACAGAAGGAAAGAAUUUGAUAGAAUAAAACAAUUUGUUUUCAGCCCACUUCCAAGUUGCUUUUAUAAAGUGCAUUGUAAUCCGAGGCAUAUCUUCAAUACAGAAUAGUUUGGAAGGAAAGGGUAUUACCAAUUUCAACUUUGUUUUCUGGCAAGAAAGUGCAUUGUAACUCAAAACAUCUCUUUUUAGUGGGAAAAUUGCUGGGUCGAUAUGGUAAAAAUUAUUAACUAAAGUGCAAAUAAGAAGAGGAGCAAUGCCCUUAUCUUCACAAACAAUUCGUUUGUUAAUCAUUGUGAGGAGAAGAGCUCAUCAUUAAUGUUAAGAAGAGCAAUAUUUGCUGCUGCUUUGCAUUUCGUGGAUAGUGAGAAAUUUUUGCAUCUUCAGUUAGCAGGCUAAAACAGGGGAGCAGAUCAUGUGAUGCAUCAAACAGAUGUAAAAUAUCAAUUUUCAGUUGAUUAUUCAAUAUAAGAGCAAUUUGGAAUGAGGAUUUGGACUCGCUUGGGGCAUAUUGAUAGAAUCAUCAUCAAGUUGGCUGGAGAUAAAGAUCUUGAAAUAAAUCUUCUAGUUUAGGAGAUAAAUGCAUGUUUAUAAAAGUCAUCAUGUGUAAGCACAUUACUUAUCUGUAUGUUAUAUGUUCUCUUAAAUAUGCAUAUGCCUAACCAUAUGCAUGUUUCAUUUGUUUGUUGAAUGUGUCACAUCAAUACAUCCAAGACUGAUUUUAAGCCAUUGACUAUUUAUGAGAGAUUCAGAACAGGGUUUCAAGUCCCACUCUGAGACUUGUACUGGUCGCUGGCUAGAUUGGUAUGGUUAUACUACACAUUGGUGUAUUGGAACAUGGUACACCAAUGUACCAGUCAGCGCAGACUAAAGAGAGAAAUAGAAGAGGGGCAGAGCAGAAGGAGAAGUAGGAGAGAAGGACAAGGAGAGGAAUAUUUUUUAAUAGAACAAAAAAAUUCCAGGUUCUCACAAUGGAACAUGGGAUAAUUUAUUUGGCUAGUUAAAUGGUUAAAUGAUUUCUAGUAUGUAACAUAUGCAUGAACUUUUGCAAUUUUUCCAGACUGUGAUGUAGAUCAAAUUAUGCAUAUAGAUUAUUAGGUACAUGAUGUAGUGAACUAAAAACAAUCAUCAAUAGAGAAUAUCAGCAUUGGAAAGUACUAAAGCAUUCUGUACCUCAGCUGCACCGAAGGAGUAACCAUACAUUUCACUUAUCCAUCCAGAUCCAUAAAUGUCCCCAGUAAAAUUUGUAGCAUAAUGAGCUUUGUCAGAUCGAACCUCCUCUGUCUUGUGGAGCCACAAUAAUGCAAACUUCCGUAGAUCAUCUAUGUGCAUUAUUAUAACACCACCAACCUUUUCACAAGCAGAAGGAUUUCUAGUGUGUAUCUUUGCAAGCUCAUUGUCACAACCAAUAAGGUAUCUAAAAUUAAGAAUGGACAACAAUUAAGGAUAUAUGAAAAAAAUCAAAGGAGCCUCCAAUUUAAAAAGUAGAUAUCUUUUCCUCUUACUCAUAAGGAGUUGAAACAGGACGACCACGUUGCGCACCAUACUCCCAUGGUGUAAUGGGACCUCUCAUUAUCAUGUCAGCAUCCAAAAUAACAAUGAACUCAGCAUCAGUUUCAACAUGAUUAAGCCAAUGAAGAACGGAUGCUGGCUUAUUGAUAGCUGGAUACCUAUAUGGUAGAAUGCAUGUUAAUUAGCAACUGUGAAGACAAUAAAAACACAAAAAACUUAACGAAUGGAAAAUACAAGGAUUAAUGAAACUCACCUAAAAUUUUGAUGGAAAGACAUUGGAACUAGUUAAAGUGUUAUAAUACAUAAAUUAUCAACCAUGAUAGCUUCAUUCAUAAUCACUUUGGAAUUCGCUUAUUGUAACAGAACUAGUUAAGCACCAUUGAAAUUAAACAACGUAGUACUUUACAUGGCCAUGGAUAGUAGUAACGGACUAAUGGUAAGCUUCGACAUUAAAUGAGGAUUGAUAGCCAUCGAUAAAUAAAAACAGUUGUUUGCACAAGAUGGCCCUCAGCAGCACUGAUAUCUAAACAAUAACAGAGAGAGGAAGGGGAAGUUAACCAAGAGAAACCUGAGAGUACUGAGAGCUCAGCAAGGAGGAUGAAGUAGGACUAGGGCAAGAGAGGUUCACAGACAGAAAUAUGUCAGCAUAGUUUGGAAAUUAUUAUAUAAGGUUAGCUUAGGCUGAAUAAUAACCAUUGAGCAGUCUAAUAAUUGAGCAGGAAGAAUCCACCCCCUUUUGAAGGGGUCAGAUAUCGAGGUGGCACAUAUCUGGCAUAAAUAAAGAUUUUCAAAAUUCAUACAUGCCUGAAUUUUUAGCCUACAGUGAAAAGGUAAAUAAUGACAUAAUCCAACAGUGUAGAUGAUAGAUUUGGACAAAAUAUGAAUCAAGGUUCUAAAUACCAAUUGAACCAGUAAUCAUUGACCGUUAUGUAUCAACCAGUAUUUAACACCAAAAAAGUUCUAGUAUUGGAACAUAUAGUUGGAUGCCAAAAAGGUUUAAAAAUUUGAAUUUACCAGUGAGUAUAGACUGAUGUUCACCGAUCUCACCAUGAACCAAUAUGGAGACCAUCAAUUUUAGUCCAACAUCUAGAUGUAAUGAUCACGAUGAGCUGAUAUUUUGACAGGUCACGCUUGAUAUGAUUAUCUUACAUGUACACUGUCCAGUUUUAAGUAUUCCCUAUCAAUUUGUUUUUCAUUUUUUAUAUCUUUUGAUAGCCCUCUUUGCCCUUUUUUUUUUCCUCUUUCUUUUUAUUUUCUGAAUCCUCUAACAUUUCCUCUCUCUCUCUCUCUCUCCUGUCUCCCCUCCUCCCAUUGCCAUUGCCACCUACUACCAAUGAGACUCUUCCUUAGUCUCCUCAUCUUCCUCCUACAACUCUGCCUCCCCUUCCCUCUCCUCCUCCACCCUUUCCAUAACUCUCUCUUUAUUCCAAAAGGUACCAGCCAGCACCAGGUACUACUACUAGUACAUCAAUUCAUAUAGGUAGCACAUUAGUUCGACUUCUAAUUGGUAUCAGGAUCAAACCAAGAUUCCAAUACGUUACCAAGACCAGUAUCGGGUCAAUAUUUAUCACUUCGAUAUGAACUUCUAUGUCUUAGGAACUUAAACCAAUUAAUUAAAAUCCUAAUGAACUUCAAAUUUCAGAUGAUCUUUUUAUGCUGUCAAAUUUGAGAAAAAUAUAACUAAAAGCAGAGAAACAGACACAUCGUCCCUCUAACUUCUGAAAAAUGACGAUGCAGUUGUUCUAGAUUAAGAAGAUAAAUGCAUCAUAAACUCAUGGUUUAGUAAUAGAGAGUACUUUGUGGUACAUGUCCAGCAAUCACAUAUUUGACAGAAUUACAAAUCAGAAUUUCAGAUUGUGAAUAUGCACACUUGACCAUCAAUCAGUUAAGAUCACAUACCAGUCUCCUGUUAAUGGAUGUUGGCUCAUAGAUGGAACAUAAUGUGUAGGAGCUAAAUUAUGGCCCUUGUAUUGCUUCAAGACCUCAUCAGUACAACUAAGAAGUCGAGUGAUAUUUCCAGGCUGGCCACUCAAAUGAAAACUAUGAACAAGCCCCACAGUUUGCCAAUCAAAAUAUGAUGAACAUUCUGUUGAGAAAAGAGUAUGUAUUUUUGGGUACACAUUUCGAGAUUCAAUAGAGAUAAUUCUGUGCUCUGAUAUCUGACUGCUAGGUUUUUUGCGAUUUAAAUAUUUUGGCUUAGUGAGCUCAGAAAAUCUCUUACUCUUCAAGAAACUUAGAUAUUUUGACCACUGUGGCUUAGGACAACCCAUAGAUGCAUGGUGUAAUAGAAGACCUUCAUUUAAAGUGUUAAUGCAUUCUAUGCUCAAGAAUAAGCCUCGCCUUUUGUUUAAAUCAGCUUCCAUCAUCUCGACCUGCAUACAAAUGAUUGUCAGAGUCGUAAUUGAUAAGGCAUGAUGCUUCUGAUCGCAUUUGUCCUUUGGUGCACUCCAGAGAACAAUUGGACAAUGGAACCAAAUUUGAGUUCGUAGUUGCACAAUGGUCAUACCUCUCUAGGAAAAGGUGGUGGAGGGAAGAUUCUGUUGCAGUCAUACACAAUGCCAUCCUCAUGAUGUCUUAUCUUUCUAAAGGACCAAUUACCAACUUUAAAUGGUAAACCAUAGUGCAAGAGGAUAGGCUCCACACCAACUCUAGGAAUAUAACCAGGAUAAAGCAUUAAAUCAUCAUUUAUCUUGUGACGGAGGCCGACCUGAACAUAAUGAAACAGAGAGAUAAGGACAAUAUAAGACCGUCACUAAUUAUCUUGUGAUAAAGGCUGACCACUAUCAAAAUAAAUUGAAGGAACCAAAAAAAAUCGUUUACCUCUGCUGCACCAAAUGAAUAUCCAUACAUCUCACUGAUCCAACCCUUGCCAUAAAUGUCACCAGUUAUGUUGGUUCCCCAAUGUGCUCGAUCCUCUCGCACUUCCUCAGUCUUUGAAAGCCACAGAGGAGCUAAAGCCCUUAAGUCAUCAAUAUGCAUGGCUAGAAGUCCACCAACCUUGUCACAUAAUUCAGGAUGCUUUGUGUGCAAACGUGAGAGAAUAUUAUCACAUCCCCUCAAGUACCUGAAAGAAAAAGGGACAAAAAGCAUGAUAAAUCUAUUUUAACAAUUAAAAAGAAAACAGAACUUUACAGUUAUUUCAGAGAAAAAAUUGAAUGGAGUAAGGAUUCAUACCCAUAAUAUGCAGCAACUGGUCUACCUUUCUCGGCACCCAGUUCCCAAGGUACUAUUGGACCUCGAAUGAUCAUAUCUGCAUCCAGGAUUACAACCCAAUCAACAUUAUCUGCAUCUUCACUAUGUUCAAGCCAAUGCAAAACACCUGCUGGUUUAUUGAUAGCAGGAUACCUGAUAAAAUAGAGAAAAAUCCCAUAGCUAAUUUGAAUAUCAAGACAAGCAUUAUGUCUCUAACCAAUGGGGAAUGCAGUAACAGAGAUCGACAAAUAGAUCAACAUCAACUGGGUAAUGCAAUGAUUCAAGGUUGGAAAGAAAAUGUACAGAAAGGCAAAGUAUAAAGCUACGUGAUAGGUAAAACUAUUAGAUUUAUGUAUUUUUCAUAACUAUUAGAAUAGACACGAGAAAAAACACCACUAACCAAGUAAAAUUGAAUACCAAUGUGACAAGAGUCAAAAUGUACCUUAGACACAUGCAGCAAUAGAAAUUUGGCCUGUAAGUACAACUUGCAAGAAAUAUACGGCAGAUAAUAUUAAUUUUGGAUUUUCUCAUGAUAUUAACACGUAGACGUCAAGCCAUUUGUAUGUACAAGCAGUAGAAUGGAUUCUUCAAAAGGUACAUUCCACUGCAUGACACCUUCCUCAUAACAUCCUAAGAGUCUUUUGUGCAAUAAAAAUCAGCAUCCUUGGGAUAACAGAAAAAUAUUACUUGCAUGAACUGAAAAUUUAAACUAUCAAGUAUCAAGUACUGUUGAGAAAAUUUGGUUUGCUUGCCAAUCUAUCUAGUUCACCAAACAGCGAAUGUUUAACAUCAUAACGCAUGUCAACAUAGUGUUGGAUGUUCAAUGUUGUAUCUUGAAUGAGAUGCAAUGAAAAUUGUCCCAGCAUGGUUUCAACAUAAGAGGCACUUGCUCAAGUUCAUUCUUCUAUCUGAUUUUGAGAUAUCCUUAUUGUCAAGCAACCCACUGCAUCAGGCUCUUGACAAUGUAAGGUCUGGAAAGAGUAAAUGUAUGCAGCCUUAUACUCAUAAGCAAACAAUUCAACGCAGAAGGCACUUGUUCAAGUUUAUUGUUCUAUCUAGUUUUAAUUUUUAAGAUUUGGUAUUAUCAAGCAACCCACCGCACUAAGCUCUUAACAAUCUGAGUUUCUUGAAGGAUCAACUUAUGCAGCUUUGCACGCAUAAGCAAAGAAGUUUAUCUAAUCAUCUAGGUCACAGUGGAACAACCUUAUAGUGGUGCCAAGUCCCACCUUUUUAAGAUUUUACAUUACCACAUACCAAAAUUUCAACUUGGUGCUUGGAUUCCACAAAUACAUGCCAUAUUUACGUAAUAUUGGAAACAUUGGUCAAGAUAGGACCAAAUGAAGAUGCUGUUUAGCCAGCAACUCAAACUCAACCAAUCAAAUUCUUGCUACGUACUAGAGAAAUCUUGUUUGCCCGACGGCAGUUAUGGUAUUUCCAAAAAAUUGUGUUAAUCUAUAAGGUAAGCCAGCUUGAGGAUCCAGAAUUGCAGUAACAGUAAAUUAUAUAUAAUGCAGAUCAAAAUCUGUUUGUCUUGUGUUAAUCUAUAAGGUAAGCCAGCUUGAAGAUCCAGAAUUGCAGUAAUAUGUAACAGUAUCUGCAUUCUAAGAAUUUAAAAAUAUCAACAAGCUGGGAAUUAGUUAAAAAGCUACUGACAUAAAAUCAAUUAUUUUAUUUGAAACAAAACUAGUAAUAAUAAUAUCAAACAUAGAAGACUAAGUUGGCCAUAAGAUCACCCAAGAGUUGCUGUGGGGGCUGGACGUAUGAUCAAGGCAAUGAUCAUAUAAUCAUGCAUCAUUCUAAUGUAACACAGAGUGACCAACAUAGCUGAGCUCAUUUCAGAUAAGACAAGGCCAGAAGAACAUGGCAGACAUGUCCAGGAAAUUAAAGAAGUUAAGAUAUGUCUAUCCAUACUCAAAUAGUAUCACCAAAAAAGCCCACAUUUUUACAAGCAUGAUGCAACAUAGGAAACACUGAGAACAACAACCUUGGCAGCUUUCCAAAGAUUUCAGUCAUCAGAAUAACUUGAAAUGAGAAAGGGGGGGGGGAAAAAGACAUGCUACUGCUCAUUGACCCAACUUGGCAAGAAAUUAUUUUGUUAUAGCAAUUUAAAAUCACCGGAUUCUCCAUUCUCAUGCCAAUAUUGGUGGAUGUGAAGAGAACAAAAGUUCACCCAUUAAUCCAAAAGGUUAUUCAAGGAUAAAUUGGUUCCAAGUAAUCAAUUGAAUCACAACAUUUAGUAAAAAGAUAGAAACAAGCAUUUUAGUUAUUCUGAACCAUAAUAGAUUUGAAACUCUAAUGCCCCAAAGCAUUACCAAAUCUACGCAUGUUAUCAUCUCUGUUUCAAUGAGCCCGACGUUCCAUCGUAAAAAGGCAGCUCAGCUGAAAAUUCAACUCCAGAGGAGCACCGCGAUUUCCCAAAUUCAUAUAUCAAAUGCAAAUACCAGUUCACGAAUCCGAAUUUCAGAUGCAAUUAAAACAGAAGUACGGCAAAGUAAAAGCACAACUUCUUUUGCUCACCAAUCCCCGGUCCUUGGGUGGCGGCUCAUGGAAGGGACCUCGAAGGUGGGCGCGAGGCCCAUGCCCCGGUACCGGCGGCGCUGCUCGUCGGUGCAGCUAAGGAGACGGGUGAUGGGCCCCGGCUGCCGCGCCUUGCGGUAGCUGUGCAUCAAACCCACCGUCUGCCAGUCGAAGUAAUCCUGGCACUCAACGGAGAACAGGGUGUGCAUCCUCCACGGCGCCUUCCGGGCCUCCGCCAGCGCCGAGGAGGGACACACCGCCACCACCACCACCAGCACCACGAUCGCCGCCGGAGCGAAUGACGCCAUCACGGACAAAGAUCGCAGCGGCCGAUCCAGGGAUCUAAAGUUCAGGGCAUGGUGGUGAAGCGUCGACGUUCCUUCCACCAAUUGCUGUCCUAAAAGGAUUAAAAGAAAAUGCAGAGGCGUUGAUGGAAUUUUGCCAAAUCUUUUAAGGUCUUGAUUUAAUUUAGAAGAUUCCAAUUCAUAACCCUUUUGAUAUCUAUGAGUUUAUUUUCAAUUUUUUUUUUUAUAAAUAGACAUCCAAUGGACAUAAAUGUUUUAUAUUAUAAUUUUUAAAAGAAAAAAAAAUAAAAGAAGGAGUAUGGUUUGAUUUAAGUUUUUGGCUUUGUUUGUUCCACAUCUUUUUUCUUGGCGUGUUUUGUUCAUACACUAAACUUAGUUAGAUAUCUAAACAAAUUCAAAGGGAUCUAAUAUGAAUUAAAAUAGUUCCUCGUACAUCAAUUGCUAAUUUCCAAAGGGUUUUACGAAGUUGUAAUCAUGUAGAAAAAAUAUAGUAAUUUUCUGAAGAGGAAAAAGCUUAUAUUAUGAUUCAUUUAAUAAUAAGAUACUGUUGGUGACGGUGAUACACUGACAAGGGAGAAAGAAGACUUGAGAGACAUAAUAAAUUUACAUAAAUAUUCAUCUUUAAUCAAAACGACAUCCUCCUAAUUAAUAUAUAUAUAUAUAUAUAUAAUAAAAAUAAAAUUAUUUAUCAUAAUCGCAAUUAAAUGGAAACUAGGGUGUGUUAUUGUGGUCUUAAUUUUCUCACUCUUACCUCUACCUAAAUCAUUUUUCCAGAGUUUGACUUAAGCAUCCAAGGAAAUAUACUGAGAACGUCACCUAAAAUUAGUCUUAGUAUAAGUGGAUACUAUAUCGAUCAUCCAAAAGCUUUUUUUAACGUAGAUCAACGUCAUCCCUAAAUAAUAUUAAUAUAUUAUAUAUUAUUAUCUCCAAAAUAAGAGAUGAUUAUUUUUACGAUAUGACAUGAUAUAAUAACUGACUUAUUAAGCUCAAAUCAUUCAUCAGCAUGCCUAAAUUAAAAUUUUAUGAUAAUACACUUAUUAGAUACUUGUAGGUAAAUCUUAAUCUUAGUCCGAUGUGUUUAUGAUUAUAAUAUAUAAAAAUAAUUAUGCAUAUUUUCUAUUUAAUUUAUUUAUUGAAUUCUACUGGCACUCAUGUGUACUCCAAUAAUUAUGUAUAUACAUAUAAUAUAUAUAUAUAUAUAUAUAUAUAUAUAUAUAUAUAUUAUAUGCGUUUAUGUGUCGGAUCAUUUUUGUUGCACAUAUCUCAAUGCAUAAAUAUAUAUUUUUGGAUUCUAAUCGUCACUUACCUUUUAUAAUAUAUAAAGAAUAUUAAAAUUAUCAUUUAAUAAUAAGAAUGAUAGCAAGUUUUUUUUUCUUUCUAAAUCCAAAAUAGACUAUCUACUUAGUUAUUCAAAUUUAAAUUUAAGCAUAUCCAACAGAUGAACCAAACAUCAAAGAAAAGGGACAAAUAUCCCAUAUAAUUCUUUAAUAUAUUUUUGAAAAUAAUAUCAUGAUUAUAAUCAGUCAAGUGAUCUCUAAACUUAUAAGACCAACGCAUAAGAAGACAACCAGCCGGCCUCUCCCUGCAUUGCAAUGUCAGCCACACUGCAUAAAGCACCAACCCAACUCUCCUACAGCCAACGCCUCACCAUCGGUUUCACCUCCAUCAAAGGUAUGUUGAAUUCCCACUCCUGCAUUGCGUGCAUGCCGCUAAACGACUCAGGUGAUGCUGUGCUUCCUUUCUCAUGGAGCAGGAAGAAGACUCAGCGAUGAAGUCGCAGAAGCGAGGGGCGGCAAGCCGCGGCGAACCCCUUCCGGACCUCACGGACUUCAUGAACGACUGGUUCUUCGGCAGCGUAAACGUGGAGCGACGAACGUACGAUCUCGGUGGGGGAAGCGCGAAGAAGGAAGAAGAGGACAGAGGCGGUGCCACGAAGCACACGAGCAGGCUCACCCAGGAGUGGCUCGAGGAAGCGAGGAAGGUGGUUGCCGGAUCGCCUCCGAGGCCUGGUUCCCCGGCCAGGUUCCUUGGAUCGCCCAGAUUUGCUGCGGAGGAGGCGACGGAAUCCUCGCCGUUGGUUGAUCGCAGGGAUCCAUUGUCAAGAUCGGCAAGGAGGUAUAUAAUAUAUCUGACUGCAUGAGAGGACCAUGAUCUUGCGCGCACGAUUAUUAAAGCAACUUAAUAUUACGAAUUAUAUAAAUAUCAUAAAUGAUAAAUUAUCAUGCCGUGGAUGAAUUUUCUAACUUAUCGAUGCAUAUUUAAACGAUAAUCACCAAUCACUCAAAUUAGUCACGAACGAUUUAUUUGGUAUCAAAAUUAUAGAUGUUUUAAUUCAUUCUUUUGUUAUCUUUGUUUAUUUUUCUCUUAAUAAUUAGUUAUGUUUAAAAAAUUAAGAUGCAUUAAAAUCUUUAUAUCUAUAAAUCGUCUAAUGAAACCUUUUCUUAUUGUCGAAUUAUUAUUGAAUGCCCAAUUUCUGAAUUGUGACGACAUCUGAUGAUCGGAAACAUUAGAUUCAAUUUCGAAUGAUACCGUUGGUUUUGUUUUUGUUUUUGUUUUAAAAAACAUCUUUACUAAACGAUGUAACCGAAUAUAUCUUAAAACAAAACGAAAACAACAGGAUGCCAAAACGUUGCAAGUGAUGUUUCAGGCACAGGUCGUUCGACGGCAUCAGCGACGAGAUCCUACGGCGAUCCUCUUCCCGCGUCGGCCGAACCACUUCGUCCGAGUCCCUCCUCCCGCCCAGCGAGACCCACUCCGCCGCAACCGGCGACCCUCACCCCGCCUCCGACGGGGGUGGCCGCCCGCCUCCGCAAUCGCUCCCGCCGAAGCAACCGUACCACCGGACGUCCCGCUUCCGCGAGGAAACCCCCUCCGAACCUCUUUCCCCCGCCGCAACUUCUCGGCGGACUUUCCGCAGCCGCUCCCCUGCUCCGCCUCCGGCUGAGGCCGAAGAGGACGCUGCUCAGCGGCAGCCUCUGCUGUCGCCGCCGCGGAAUUUGGUGGAGUCGGCUUUUCGGAGGUCGGUGUCCUCGAUCACUUGCUCGCUGGAGACGCUCACUGGGCUGGAGAAAGAAAAGGGGUCCGACCGUAGGAAAGCCAUCUCCUCCUCGUUGAAGGCCUGCAACCGGCUGCCGGAGUCGUCGCCGCCUGAAAACAUGAGGCAGAUCAAUGCGUUCCUUAGGAGGCAGAGGAAGAUGAUCGGGAGGAUCUCCCGCGGCGAAGCGUCGGCCAAGGCGAAGAUCAUACUCUCUGGAUCGUCUAACAGUUCCGAGUUCUUGAUCGGAUUGUAGCUUCCCUCCAUUUCUUCAAAAUGCCUAAUUUCUCUGACUAUCGUCUGUUUUCUUUGAUAGGCACGACGAGUUCGAUGGUGGCAGCCAUAUGUUAUGCGUGGUUAUUAUGGAAUAGGGAGGAGAAGGAGGUGGUGGUCGUGCCGGUGGAGAACAUGGAGAGGAGGAGGAUGACCAAUCACAAGCAAGCUGCUUGGCUCUUUUACCAUGUUGGAAUUGAUGCUUCGGCAUUGCUCUUUGCCGAUGAGGUAUGAACUCCUGUGCACUGAGUGGUUUGCUUAGCAUUCCAUCAAUAUCUUGUUUUACUUGCUGCAAGCUGGUUAUUCUGUACUUAAUAUACAUGCUAGACUAACAAGAAGUUAAAUCUGCAUCCCCUUUUUCAUCGACUUCAAAGAGCUUUUGGUCUAUGCACAUAAUGCUUAAAAAAAAAAAAAAAGAUAACCUUGUUAAAAUGAUGACCGUGAUAUUCACAUUUCAUGUUGGAUUAGAACAACAAUGAUGACAAGUCGUGGUGUUUCAACUAUUUGGGGUUGGCACAUUUAAUGUUGGAUUGCUUAUUUGAAAUGUAAAACAUCAUAUUGGCAGACUACAUUAUUAGAUGGUGAGUCUUCUGUUUCAGUGUUCAUGAUGUUUUGAAUUUUUGGAAUGCUUUGAACCUGUAUUAUGAAGAACAUAAAGGAGUAAUAUUAGACAAAUUCUGCUUGGUGUUUUUAUGAUACUGACAGUUCUGCAUGCACAUGGACUAUGUUACUCAUUAAUCAAAUCAAUUAUCAGCUGUUUGAUACCCAGUUGUCCUGUUGAAAUAAUGGGGUAUUACACAUCCUUUCACAACCUUUAUAUGUUCCAUUAGCAACAAUCACUGUGCUUAUCCAUAUGGAGACAGGCCUCGAGUCAGUUUUAUCACCUCAAAAUAAAUCAUGGGGACUUCAAUUGAAGAUAAUUUCCUCCAAAAGCUACAAUAUUUAUAAUAUGUAGAAACCAAGAGUCAUGUAAUUUGGAUAUGUUUUGUGCAUUAUUCUCAUUAGCACAAAACAAAUGGUGUAAAGAACAUUCAUUCACGCAACAAUAAUUUCAGUUUUUAGCCACUUUAAAGGAACAGAUCAUAGGCUAAAUAUUGUUCGAUAAAUCCAUGAAAAAACUCACCUUGUCUUGACACUUGUGGCUUGUGUAUUAAACUAUACUAUUAAAGCUACUUAUAUGGGCUUCUAUAAUAUUCAUAUGUUCCAGCUUUUGAAAAAAAUGAAUUUUUACUUCUAGGCCUUUCAAACUUCAAGAUAAUGUUUUAACAGAAUUGAUUUUCAGUUUGGACUCUCCAUAAUUGAUAUUGAGGUGAUAGGAUUGAGGCGUCCGGAUAGUAUUCUAGCUCAUCUCUCUCUCUCUCUCUCUCUGUGUUCAUUUAUAUAAUGGAACUGUAAAGGUUUUUUACUCUCAAUAUCUCAUUUUGUAUAGUUCUUCCUAUCAAAUAGAAAUAUGAAAUGUUGAAAUGAAAGAUGUAUCUUAAUCUUGCAGCUUGUUAUAAGUCAUUUAUACUUUUUUCUUGUUCCAUGUCUUACGUCAGGUAGAUCUGGAGAAUCUUUUGAUGGCCAACAAACUAGCCAUGCUUGUCAUCGGGCAGGAUGUGCUGAAAACUAACAAUGAGGUGAUUAUUCACUGUUCAAUCUUUCAAGCACAAACAGUUCUAUACAUGCUCCAGUUCUGUUGUAUAGGUGGGUUCUCUGUGCACAAUUCUCACAGACAACUAUUGUGAAGAAGCCUAUGAUCUACUUCAGAAUCCUAACUUGAAAAAGCUUUUGGUAUGAAACUUGAAAUCUAUGAUUUUACUAAUCGGUUCUUCGUUAACUCUGUACUCUCUAUGAAGAAAUAUGUUGUUCCAGCUUGCAGGUAUUCUCUUAGAUACACAAAAUCUUGAUGAUACUGCUCAGUUUGUUACAAAGAGAGAUGAAGAGGCAGUACGGUUGCUAUCAGUCGGUUUUGCUCCCAACUACAGACAAGAAUUUUUUUCUCAAUGUAAUUUUCUGUUCUUCAUAAUAACUUCAGUCUAACUAGGCAAUCCUCUUCGUAUGUGUUGUUUGCUAUUAUCUUAUAUUCUGUUUGCAACUAGUGAUGCAAGAAAACAAGGAGAAUUUAUUUCUUGAAGCUCUGAAGAACAAUUAUGGGAUGCUUUCUUGUGAGAGUAAGUUGUAUAACAAAAUGACAUUUUAGAGUCACGAGAGAAAAUUUCAAAUGGAGAAUAUAUCAUUGUCACUAAGCUUUACUGAACGUGGAAUAUGUUGGUUGCAGCAAAAGAGAAGUCACCACCGGUGCAAGCACCAAUUCCAGUGCCGCUUCCAGUGAAGGCACCAGAAACAAAUUCUCGUGGGAAGAGCAAGUUCUUUUUGGCAAAGUGGUUUGGUUUUGGUUCAAAAUGAUUUAAACUUUCCAAUUUGUGCCUAUAUAAGUUGGGUGAGAAAGUUGAUCUCUUGAUAUUUAGACUGAUUACAUUCAUUUUAUAAUAGAUACAUGGGACUGACUGUUGUUGUAGUUUGAAAACAUGCUUUUGGAAGAUGUCUGCACCAGUGCAUCAUAUGAUCUUGAGGAGGCAGAGCUCAACAUAGCCACUUGUCGAGUCAUAUUUUCUGUUAUACAAUUAUCUUUAUUUCCUUUUUUUUUUUCAACGAGUAAAAAAAUAGAGCAGACUCCAUUGUCACAAGUCCACUAUUGUAUUGGGAUAAAACUUGCCUCCUCGAUAUUAUAUGAAGGGAAAUAAUCUUGUGAUCCUCAGGUAGAGAAUAUGAUGUUUUCUUCUUGUAUGUUAAUAUUUAAUGCAUUAAAUACGAUCGACUAUUCUCAAAAUAAGUAGGACAUAACUUCAUGUUAUUGGGUUUAUCUUAAAGACAUUGGCUAGUGUAAUUUGGAGUAACUUGGUUGAAUUGCAAGACACAGGAGUUAGUACUUUCUUCAUAAAUGUGUUUAUCUUGUGUGCAUCUGCAACGUUGAAAAUUUGGCCUGAUUCUUUCAUUCACUGGGCGUUCCAGUUUUGUUAAUUCCAUAAUUGAGUUUUGAAUCCUUGUGCAGGUGGCACCCCUUUUACCCUCAACAACAUGAGAUCUUUAACUAAUAGCUAAAUUGAUCUUUAUUUAAAAGCGUAAGAACAUAGAUCAGUAGUAUCGUAUCAUCAUGGCUGGCUUACGAGCACAGUAGAGAAGUAUAGGUUGAAGGUGCCAAACCAUGGUAGAGCCAUUCUUUGAAAGCGUUCUCAGGCAGCUUUGACGGUCGUGAGGUGCUUGCGCUUGAUGAAUUCUCCGGCUUCCGAGUCGACGUCCUCCUCCUCCUCGUAGGUCGUCUUCUCGCACACUCGAUAUGCGCCCUUGUCGUCCUCGAACCUCUCCAGGUGCAUUGCCUUACCAAAACGCCCGGCCGGGCACCUCUCCUCUUCCUCGUACCUUUCCUUGUGCUUGUAAAUGGCAUGGAGGUUGGGAAAGUGAGGCCCUUCGAUCAUGCUCGUCGUCUUCUCGAUCCUGGUGACGUAGGUGACGUAGUCGUCGCCAUGGAGCUUCGCCUGGUCUCGCUGUGGGCAGUUCCGAUGAGUCGCCAUGAACGAUGUUUCCUUCACAGGCACCACCGAUAGCUUCUUUGCCUGGAAAUGGCUUAAUGGCGAGCUCCUCUCAUGGCUCUUCCUUUUAUAGACGCG
rnacentral:lncRNA from 1 species